rnacentral:lncRNA from 1 species
GGCCAUUGAGUAAACGGCGCAAAGUGGCGAUGCCUUCGCCAGAUUCGUAUGAUAGUUGGAUUUGGCCGAAUCCUGAAGCCAUUUGAUGAAGUUUGGAAAAGGAACGGCAAGGAAGACGACAAGGAUAGAAGAUGUCGGGCAAAAAGCAGCGGAGAGUUUAAAAGAUUUAGAAAAGAAAAACGACUGGGGAGUUAGGAAGUUUUCAAUUACAAAGAUAAAAAGAAUACAGGAGAUUCAGAAGUGAUGGGAAUAACCGUUGAAAGGCGGUGAUUGCUUUUGAAAAGUGUGCAAAUUCCAAGAACGAAAGACAUGGGUAUUAAUAGAGACCUAUUUAAUCAAUAUUGGCGCCUGGAAUUCCAGUCUGAAUAUUGAUUGAAUGGGGCACUGUUUGAGUUAAAACUUAAACUUUGGGCUCAAAAGGGAGUUUGCCCAAAAAGAGAAGAAAAGCCCCGAAGCACAGCCCAAGCCCAGAAGGCAGAAAAUGCCUUUCCCGACUAGGUGCAGAUCAUUUACACCACUUGCUCACCUACCCAAGGGCCAAGUGGUAUAGACCAGCUAGCUAAUCAGCCCAAAAGUACUUUACAAUGGCAGUACAAGUAAAUAGCUGAUGAGUCACUAUCCUUCAAACUGCAUUCGGGCAAGAUUAUUGCUACAGGAGGCCAAGCCAAAGUGUCUAUAAAAGAAGAAAGAGAAAUCAGAGUUAAGGACACUCAAACAAACCAACAAAUACAAGUACAAACUCUGCUCAAAGCCAGAUUUGCCUUCAAAACGAAGUUGUAGUCAGCCCAAGCCUUCAUCCCUUUCGGGAUAAACCCUUUGUAAUAGCUCUGCUACUCUAUUCAACUCUUGCUGUAGUAUAGAUUUAUUUCUGUAAACUCAUCUCCCAACCCCUUUUCUAAACUUUCAAACCUUCUGAUAAACCACAAAGAUAGGAAGUUGCAAGACGAUCAGCCUUGCCCGACAAGGUUAAACUUUGCCCGACCCUCUUUGUUUUUGUCUUUUCAUUCAUUAGCCUAGCAAUAUGUUGUAUACUACAAGUUGUAUCCAAGUUAUUUCUAGUAAUAUGGCUAUUAAAAGACUCUCUCAGCAUUUGAAUCCGAUUUGAAUAUGUCUUCACAGUUCAAGCCAGAUCUAAGUUCUAAGCCCUUGGGCAUGUAAGAUUUGAUCACUCAAAAGUCCUUGGCCUCAAGGCAUAAAAAAAGAACCUUAUGUGGACUUAACCCAUCCACGACAAGCUUUGAUAAACAAGGAGUCUGAAGUUACUUGAGGCGCAAGUAAUCGACCUGUCACUUAGUUUUAUUUCUAUUAUAUUAUGAUUACCAUAGAACGUUCGAGUAUGGAAUGAAUUCUGAUGGGAAGCCUCAAGGCCUAUUCAAGGCCCCACAAAGGCACCUAUUUGGAUUCAUCUUGUUCCUCGGGCUAGAACGUUGAGUAUAGAAGGAGUUCUUAUGGGAAGCCUCAAUGCCUACCUAAGGCCCUACAAAGGCACCUAUUUGGAUUCAUUCUGCUCUUCGGGCUCAGGUAAUCAGAAGUAUAAUGGUUAUAAGACUCAACAUCCGAGUACUAAGUUAGUUAUUAACGGGAAGCCUCAAGGCCUACACCUAAGGCCCCACAAAAGCACCUGUCAUAACUAACAUAGUCUCUCGAGUAUAUAUAUAAUUAAAACUCAACAUCCGUUUUACAUAUGCCAUGCUGAAGAUGGCAGUGGCACGCCUGAGCACUAAAAAGUUAAUCUUGAUUGUGAGCCUCAAGGCCUAUACCUAAGGCCCCACAAAGGCACCUUUCAAAGUUAACUAUGUCCUUCUCUUUCAGCCUUGCCCGACAAGCCCGCCAGUAAAGCAGAAGCCCGACAGAAAGCAUCAACCGGCACCUCUCGGGAAGCUGUGUGCUCGUUGGCUAGGAAACAUCCUCAACGGUAAUUCCUGCCACGAACACAAACACUUGGUGUGCGUAAAAAAAAUACUCCAUAAAAACUGUUAAAAAUGGACAUUGACUACCUUGUAUGGCUUGAGCAGACCCAUACAGAUUUGCACUCGUCUUCUCUGACCAUCGGACACCUUGUGCAACUGCCAUGAAAGAUCAAUAUCCAAAACCUUUAUCAGCUCUGAUCUCCUUUGUGGGUCGAUCCCCGCCACCCCAUUGAUCAACUUAUCAGCCGAAACGUCCAUUUGAAUCGAGACAUCAAACCCGACGAACGCUACAUCUUGCCGCCACUUUCCGCCGAGAUACGAGAGGUCGCUGGAGCCGGUCAAGGCUGUGUCGUGAAACGUCGACCUUCCGAGCGCACGCAAACCAUGCGAGGCUCGACCAUGUGUUUGCCGCCCAGGAUCUUCAAGAUCGUGGUUUUCCCCGUGCCGUUGGAUCUGACGAGGAGGCAUCGUCACCAGCGUUGAGGUUGAGAUUGAAGUCCUCGAUCAGCGGCUUAGAUCCCGGCAACGGGUGGCCGUUAAUUCCUGGGUAGGUGAAUUUUAAGCCAUUGAUCUCGGAGUUUAGCUUCACACCUAUUGUCGAUGAAUUUUUAGAGAGAGAGAUGAGAUUAGGAGAGAGCAAGUGUGCCGACACGAAAAAGUCGUUAAAGCUUUCGGCGAUGGACGAGUUUGGUUGUCGACUCGGUGGAGGAGGCGUGGAUAGUUCCCAGUCACAAACUUCGAACUUGGUAGUUGGUAGUUUGCCAUGUCAUCCAAUGACAAGCAGACACGUUGCUGCUACUAACACAGGAAAAUAAGGGUUGGGCGCCAACAAACUUGGAGGCUCCGAAUCCGAUCACCGGGUUCAGGUCGAACCCAACUUCUAGGUUACGAGUCUUCUCUCCUAACUCUUGAAUCUGGACUGAAGGUGUUUUUCUUGGAUUUCGAAAUAGCCCUUGGAAAUGGCAGCAAUUUACAGUCUUUACGUCAUUAACAAAUCAGGCGGCUUGAUCUACUACAAGGUCACAAAACCCUAAGAGAUUUCAAUUUUCUCAUUUAUUUUCCUUUGUUUUCUCAACAACCAAACAUGAAAGUUAUCGAAUUUCGAUUGCUGUGUUUAGGAUUAAUUUGCAAUUGAAAUUUAGAGUUCUCACUUAAAUUUAAUAGAUUUCAAAUUUGCAGAUUGUAAGGUUUGUAUAUAAUGUAGAAGGUAAAGUUAGUGAGCCUUUGAAUUGGAUGAGCUUAAGUUGAGAAGAUUUUUGUUUUGUUUCAGAGUUGGAUGAGCCUUUGAAUUGACUCUACUUUGGCUCCAUUCACCUUUCAAGAUAUUUAAUAACCGGAUCCAUCGAGCAUAUUGCUUCAUUAGUUUCCUUGAGGAAUCCCUCUAUAACACUAAUAUGCUCAUGCAUGCAUUUUUGUUUACUUUUUCAGAAGCGCUACCGAGAACAAUUCUCAGUUAAAUGCAUUAAUUUGAAAUAAAUUCAAAAAUAAAAAAAGAGCACUAACUUGUAUUUCUGUUUGCUACUCCAACUGAAAAUUCACGUACUUUUGCCCUUCGGAUUAGAGAGUAUUGUUUAUUCGUAGUAUACAAUUACACCUAUAAAUGUUAGUUAUACUAAUUAGUCAGACCAACUCCAAUGGUGAGCUAAAAGCUAAAUUACCCCCUAAAAUUUCCCUCCAAACCCAAUCCAACCCAAGAGGAAAUUUUGGGCUAAAUGCUAAAUGCUAAACUAAGGCCAGAUUCCCCCCAAAAUUUAGCCCAGAAAUCGGAAUUUAAAUUUUUUUUAGAUUAAAAUGUACAUAAAAUUAAUUUACAAUAGUCUACAUAUUUAUUUUUUAUUUUUUAAAUUAAUUUAACAAAAAAAAUAGCCUAAGUUCAUUUUUUAAUAAUCCCGGACUAAAAUUUUAGACUAGAACGGUUGGAGCAGAAAAGCUGUUUCUGGGCUAAAAGUUAAAUUUUUCAAGCUAAAAUAUUUAACUUUUAGCCCAACCAUUAAAGAUGAUCUUAAGGUAAUAGGGUCGUGUGCUCUCCGUAUUGGCACUCAAAUUUCAAACACCGCCCCGCACGUAAAUAAUAAUAGUGUGAAGAUCAUUUUAUAAGAAAAAUGGAUACAUCCGUACUCGUUUGGAGGAUUUUGGGAAGAAACACAACAGAUAAAUGACUGAAUGGUCAAAAGAUGACACUGGUCUACUCAAAUCAAUACCAUUGUCAUUUUCCUCCAAAGAUUCAAGGGCAGCCGAAAAGAAAGAUUGAAGACAAACUUAAUAAAGUCAUCGUAAUUGGUUGUAAGGUUUGUAUAUAAUGUAGAAGGUAAAGUUAGUGAGCCUUUGAAUUGGAUGAGCUUAAGUUGAGAAGAUUUUUGUUUUGUUUCAGAGUUGGACGAGCCUUUGAAUUUACUGUACUUUGGCUCCAUUUACCUUUCAAGAUAUUUAAUAACCGGAUCCAUCUAGCAUAUUGCUUCGUUAGUUUCCUUGAGGAAUCCCUCUAUAACACUAAUAUGCUCAUGCAUGCAUUUUUGUUUACUUUUUCAAAAGCGCUACCAAGAACAAUUCUCAGUUAAAUGCAUUAAUUUGAAAUAAAUUUAAAAAAAAAAGAGCACUAACUUGUAUUUUUGUUUGCUACUCCAACUGAAAAUUCACGUACUUUUGCCCUUCGGAUUAGAGAGUAUUGUUUAUUCAUUGUAUACAAUUACACCUAUAAAUGUUAGUUAUACUAAUUAGUUAAACCAACUUCAAUGGUGGGCUAAAAGCCAAAUUACCCCCCAAAAUUUCCCCCCAAACCCAAUCCAACCUAAGGAAAAUUUUUGAGCUAAAUACUAAAUGCUAAACUAAGGCCAGAUUCCCCUCAAAAUGUAGCCCAGAAAUCGGAAUUUAAAAUUUUCAAUAUUUAUCGGAAUUUAAUUUUUUUUUAGAUUAAAAUGUUCAUAAAAUUAAUUUACGAUAGUCUACAUAUUUAUUUAUUUAAAAAAAAUUAAUUUAACAAAAAAAAUAGCCUAAGUUCAUUCUUUAAUAAUCCCGUGCUAAAAUUUUAGGCUAGAACGGUUGGAGCAGAAAAACUAUUUCUGGACUAAAAAGUUAAAUUUUCCGGGCUAAAAUAUUUAAUUUUUAGCUCAACCAUUAGAGAUGAUCUUAAGGUAGUAGGGUAGUGUGCUCUCCGUAUUGGCACUCAAAUUUCAAACACCGCCCCGCACGUAAAUAAUAAUAGUGUGAAGAUCACCUUAUAAGAAAAAUGGAUACAUCCGUACUCGUUUAGAGGAUUUUGGGAAGAAACACAAUGGGUAAAUGACAGAAAUGUCAAAAGAUGACACUUGUCUACUCAUACCAAUACCAUUGUCAUUUUCCUCCAAAGAUUCAAGGGCAGCCGAAAAGAAAGAGAUUGAGGACAUACUUAAUAAAGUCAUCGUAAUUGGUUGAAAAGACAUUUAUAUUGUCGAAGGGAAGUACUGGAUGUCUUUUCCAACUUUUGAUUGCCCCCUUUUCUCAUCCCAUGUCACUUAUCAACGGACAAUUAGUAGGCAAUCGUUAGACAUUCGAUUUUUUCACGUUUAAAUGUUAAUCAAAUUUCAGUCUGAUAAUCACUGCCUCAAUGUCUAGUCGGGUUGCAUAUCGUAAUUUUGUUACUUGUGGUCUAAGGUGGAAAGUCACGUUUUCCCAUUGGGCCUAUUCGUCAUUUUACAAUAUUAUUCAGAGAUCUUGAAGACGUUAUCUAAUUAGUAUUAACAUCAAAUAAAUGUAGGGAAUUAGUUGGGCAGUUUUAGAGAGGAUUAUGGCCCUUGAUGGGGCGUGACAUAAGCUCCAAAUUAAUUAAAGAUAAAACACAUUUCAGAAAGAAAAAAAAAAUACAAACGGGUAUUAACAAACGGGCAUUCAUAUUUUUUCAACCUACACUGUUUUGUCUGUUUGUCUCAUACACAAAGAAAAUCCUAGUGUUCUAGUAAAUGAAUCAUGUGGAAUGAUCCAUGUGAUUGUGAUUGCAUGAGGUCUAGGUUUGAAAAUUUGAGUUUGAUUUCAAUUUUACAAAAAUAAAACUCCCCUCGUGAAAGAGUAAAAUGAGAACAAUCAAUAAUAUAUUAGGAAAUAGAUGGUCCUCAUAUGUAUUAAACUCAUACAACUAUAGUAAGUGUUACAAUUUUAUCAAAUAUUCAAAGAGAUGGGUCACUGGCCCACUCCUAAUUGCACAGAUAUUAUAACCGUUAAUCAAUCUAUUGUUAGGUGUUGCCUUUUAUUACAAAAAGCUCGAUAUUAUUAAGAAUGAAACCAUACACUUAUAUAUUGUUUUUUAUUUUCUCAAUUCCUCGAUGUGAGAUUUAUAUUCAACAUGUCAUCUCAUGUGGGACCACAACAGAAUGGACCACACGUGCACCAAUCCCACAUUGCACAUUAAGCGUAGAAGCAUUGUGUUACAUUAAACCCAAUAAUGCGGCCACAAUACAUACCCACGAUCACACCCACUAUUUAUCUAUAUCAGAUAUUCAAAAAGACUGGCCAUCCACCCACUCUUAACCAUAUAUGUAUUGUCUCAACUUAAUUCCCUAUUAUUAUGUGUUAUGUUUUAUUUUCUCAAUUCUAAGACUUUAUGUUCAAUAAGUUCUUCAUGAUUUUUUUAUAGAAAUAUUCAUACUUUUCUGAUUUUAUAUGUUUAGUAAACAUAUAAAAAUUAAUAAGAGAUGAGUCAUUUUGAUCAAUCACAUUUUAAUAAUCAAGGAGUAAGAUUAUAUCACUUAAACAAGCUAUGCGCAUGAAGUAGACAUCCUCAAAAUUGCAAAGAAUAAGAAUAUUGGUGCGUGCAAAAGACAAAAAAUGAUUAAUUUAUUUAUUUUGUUAAAAUAAACUAUUAUUAUCCCAUUUCUUUUGAUAGGACUUGGAUUGUCUGUCCUCCUCAUCCCAUACCCUUUUCAUGUCCUCUUAUAUUCUGUAAUCACGGUUAAGCUACGUCAACAUUUUAUAUUCUCAUUACUUUUUGUCUUAUUAUUUUAUUAAUAUAAAAUGUUAAUAUGGUUUAACCGUGACUAUCGAAUAUAAAAGAAUAUAAAAGAAUAUAAAAAGGUAUGAAAAAGGUAUAGGAUGGAAAGUUAGACAAUCCAAGUCCCUUUUGAUAACAAGCAGGGACAAUACGUAACGUUUUGCACGUCCACUUUCCACCGACAGAAGUUUGUAACCAAACGAAGAAUACCAACCUCUAAUCUCAUCACACGACAGUCACACCCUCCUCGCCACGUGGAAAAUCACAGAUACGUGGCGCCUGGAUAUACUAACGCGGGGUCCACCUACUAAAACCGAAUUACCUUUUCACCCCAACUUUUACACUUUUAGGAUAUUUUAUAGGAAAUUCUACACUUUAAACUUUCUAUAUUAAGAAAGAAAAAUACACUUAUAACUUAUGAGAAAUGUAGAACGAGAUUUUUGAAAUGUCAAUAAUACUUUCUUAUUCUAUAGAACUGCCCCUGAAUGGCACGUAGCACACAGAUACUAAUUUGGUGUGGCAGCUAAAGACAGUGGGCCCGGGCGGUCCCUUUACUUUAUUUAGGAAAGAUCCUUAUGCCUGAUACCCUCACCUGAUAACAGAUUAUGCCUAAUGGCCCCUUUACCGACGUCCAAGUGCUUGGGCAUUGCAGUUCUUUUGAGUGUCCACCACUACACUAUUUUGACCCACUUCGUAAUAAAAUAGGAAAAAGAAAUUACGAAAAAUGUUUUUAAAUUUGAGAAUAUUCGGUUAGAUAUUUUUGGAGAAGCUUCUAUUCUUGAAAUUUCUACUUUCCGUCUCUAAUCUUUUCUCUAGCUCUAUAUAUAUUGCCAUCCUCUCUCGAUUUCUCCCUCACAAAUUACAAGUAGCUAGGGUUCUGCAGAAAUGGCUGGCUUUAGCGCCUACAUGCCAUUCAUGGCUAUGGUGUUGGUCCAAGCGAGCUAUGCAGGAAUGAACAUUAUUUCAAAGCUUGCUAUUGAAUCUAACAUGGACCCUUUUGUUCUUGUUGCUUAUCGUCAAGUUGUCGCGGUCGUUGCCAUUGCUCCCUUAGCUUAUUUGUUGGAAUGGUAAAGUGAACGUCUGUUAGUCUUGUUGCAUGUCACUUAAAUUCUCUUAGGGUUUGAGUUUGAUUUCAUGCACCAACGGCUCUUUCAAAAAAUUUGCUUUCUUUCUGGUUUUUGUGGUCGAAUGUUUUCCUUCUGUCGAACGCAAGUUUUAAUGGAAUAUUUUUUGUCUCCUGCAUGUACGUUGCUUAGUUUAUUUGUGUCAAAUAGUCUCAAAUUUUCAAUAUAUAUGAUAUGUCUUGGCCUGGAUUUUUCUAUUAUUCUUAAAAGAACAAUUUUUGUUAUACAUAAACAGCUAAAAUUUAUGUUCGGUUUGUCUAUGUUCACUGAAAAAAAGUAGAAGAAAAGAGGAGAGAAUAGAUUGAUCAGAUUUUUAUCUUCUUUACUUUUUGCUAUUGACAAAUAGAUAUUUAACUUUUGAAAUGAUAUGUAAAUUGUUUUUUCCUUUCGAGUAGCCAUUUUUGCACUCAUUUUUUAUUAUUAUUUGCACUUUAAACUAAAAUGGUUUGAUACUUUCUCUGCACACAUGAGGAUUGAUUUCAUUAUUGGAUAAUUUUAGCUCAGGCUAAAAAAGUGUUGAAGUGCCUAAGCCUUUCUUUCCUUCUUUCACUACUUUUUCUCCCAACUUUCGAUCUAAUUUCAUUACUUGUGGAUUUUAAUUUUACUCAAAUAAAAAGCACUUACCUUUUAAUUAAAGGGAACUUUAACGAAAAGCACCCGGUACUGUUCACUUUAACGAAAAACCAUAUUUUUACACUAAAAAGUCAAUUCUGGUACUAUUCACUUUACCCUUUAUUUUAUCUUUAUCAUUAAAACUCAAAGUUUUCAAGCACUUUUCAUUAGUUUUACUUUUAAUUUAAAAGUGGUUAUUGGAAAAUCCGAAGACUGAAAAACUCCGGUGAAUGUAUUUCAUUAGGUCUGAUUUUGGCAUUGAGCUAGGCAUGGAUAAAUUUUUUAUUGUGACUGGAAUACGGGUGGUAGACUAUGUGUAUAUAAUUGGUGAGAGAUUUUAUUUUUUAACUUAUUAACUUUUUAAUACACAUAUCCCAUAUUUUGUAUAAUGACACGUAAUACACCAUCCGUUCCAGUCACACGGAAAAAUCUCCUCCUAGGCACGCAAUAAACGCAAAAAGCUAGCCAUGCAUGGAAAGUGUGUCAACUUUCUUUUGCAGUGUGUCUUUUAUGGGGGCUUAAUUAAAGGAAAACUAAUGAAAAUGACUUGAAAAAUCUCAUUUGGCACUCCAAACUUUCUAUAAUUAGAAAAAUUAGAAAGAAAAAUACACUUGUGAGGAGUGUAGAAUGAGAUUUUUGGAGUGCUAAUAUCAGUUAUCUUAAUUAAUACUUUAUAGAGAUGAUCUAUAGAUGGAUCAUAUUAAAAAAAUAAAUGGUCUCCAUUAUGAAACUUUUACUGGUAAAUACGUAGGUCGCAAAAGAGUGAAUAAGGUGGUGUGCAAGUAUUUUCUUAACAAUAAUAUAAAAGCAAAAAAAAAAAAAAAAUGAAAGAUAUAUGAUAAUUCAUAAUAUAUACCAGUUUCUUUAAUUUUCUCAUUACAAUUUAGAAAAUUUCUUUACACACAUCAUGUUUUAUACGUUCUUUCUUAAUUUCUAAUAGGAAAACAAGACCCAAGAUCACAUUGCCUAUUCUUUUCCAGACUUUUCUGUGCUCAUUAACUGGGUAAGUGUGUUAAUUUGUUCUUAAUUUAAUAAUAUGAAAUAUAUUAUGUAGAUGUGCAUCAUUGCAAAACAGUUUAUUCACUUAAUUAAGUGUAUUAACAUGAAUUAAAAUGCAGGGCCACUGCAAAUCAGGUUUUUUAUUUUCUUGGUUUAAAGUCUUCGACCGCAACGAUUGCAUGCGCAUUGACAAACACACUUCCAGCCAUGACGUUUAUCCUUGCAGUCAUUUUCAGGUACCAUAUAUAGAUACUUUGUACUAAUUAACAUGUUUAUCUUUUUAGUUUAAUUAGUUAUUAGUUAUGUUUAACACUAAUGGAAUGUUUAAUUUAAUUUUGCAGACAAGAAUCUGCAAAGCUCAAGAGCAAAGCAGGGAUAUCUAAGGUGAUGGGAACAAUUGUGUGUGUAUCUGGAGCUAUGUUAAUUUCAUUUUACCAUCGACACAUCAUUGGUCUAGGUGAGUCCAAAAUUCACUGGACAUAUGCUCAGAGAACGGGAGAGGCAAAUUCCAGCACCAAAUCAAGCUCCUUUAUAGGCCCUCUAUUUGUCAUCUUAAGCACCUUAGGCUGGGCAUUCUGGUUCAUAAUCCAAGUAAGUAACUCAUCAUCAUCACCCUCUUGCAUUUUCGUGUUUUAUUAGUUUCUGCAUGUAUAGAAAUAGGAAUGAUAUGUACUCGUCUGAUGACAAUCAAUGUUGUGAUGAACAUUGUCACCAUUUAGGGGCGACGAACAAAAAUAGACUCUAAAAUUAGUGCUACAAUUUUUAUUUGGUUAAAUUAUAGCUAUAGACGCUAAUAUAUAUUGGGAAUUGUUUUAUCAUUGCUGAAAUCGAAUAUUAGAUGUUCCCGUCCUCCAAUAUAAUUUCAGGCUAGAGUUGGGGAAAGCUUUCCAGCUCCUUAUACAAGCACCACAUUGAUGUGUUUGAUGGCCAGCUUUGAGUGCGGGAUCAUUGCUGUAAUUGCUGAUCACAAAGUGGCUUCAUGGUCGCUAAAAGAUCCCACGAGGCUUAUUGCAUCCCUCUAUGCUGUAUGCACUAACUCUUCUUUGCUUAAACUUAUUCUUCAAUUAUUAAUCAUUAGAUUAGCUAAUUAAUUAAUACUAACUAAUUCAUGAGCAUAAUAACUAGGGAAUUAUGGGUUCUGCACUAGCAUUCUUCCUCUCUUCAUGGAGUAUUCAGCGAAAAGGCCCUCUUUACGUGUCGGUGUUUAGUCCCUUGCGCCUCAUUAUUGUUGCCAUUGCAAGCUGGGGUUUGCUUGAGGAGAAAUUAUACGUUGGAACGUAUGUAUACAUACAGUUUCGGUUUCAUUAUUUUGCAAUGAGCUAAACCAAAUUUCCUAUUAAUUAAUUGACUUGGAUAAUAUCAUGUUAAGAUGCUAAUUAGCUUGGUUCAUGUUUUACUUGAUUUAGUGCUGUAGGGUCGGUUUUGAUUGUUGCCGGGCUCUAUCUUGUUCUGUGGGGGAAGAAUAAGGAGACGAAGGAUGAGAAGCCAACAAAAGCAACAGGCAUGACAAAUAUGACAGACCAGGCCAAGGCUUAUGAGAAAAACGACUUGGAGCUGCAGCUGCAAGGGCAUUCGGAAAGCAACCGUGACGUUAUGGAAUAGAGAGUGGAGAUCGAUCAAGACAACAGAUUACAACACCAGAUCCGAAAGCUCACAAUCUGUUACAUUGUAUCUCUAUGCCACCAUUUCAUUUCCAUCAAGAAGUUGGUCCAUGAAGAGUCCUCUCAGCACAAUAUAUAGCAUGGUAAUAUGUUGUAUCAAUCCACGCAUCAUGCAUUUGGAAGUUUCUGUGAUGAACUUUAAUGAACCCUAAUCUCAUCUCAUGUCAAUCAUUUAUGUUACUUUGAACGAUCAAACACCGCAACUUGUAGACUCAAGUGACUCAUAGGAGGCGGAACACGAAUGUCAUCAACAACGAAUGACCAUCGUCUCGUUGUCCAUAUCUUAUCAAGUGUUGAGAGUAAAAUUUCACUCUUGUCGUUGUAGGGAUUGUGGAUGAUGGCUUUGAGGUCCUUAUCGUCCUUAGUGUAGGUGUCCUUGAAGAUAGUCUGCUUGCAAAGGAUAGUGUCGUUGUUGUUACUGUGCAUGGAAAUUGAAAUUAGAUGCUUGGCUACAAGGUUAGGGCUAUUGAUUAAAUUUUGCAACGUCUUGCUUAUGCAUUUGAAUCAGGUUAAAGAUUUAGGUCACAGUCUUAACAGGAUUUGCACCAUCAUCUAUUCAGGCAAUUUGCACAACUUUCCCGUCUCUCCUCUGAUUUUUUUUAUUUUUUUUAUCUUCAAACUAUAUUCUGUUUGUAGGUGUCACAUUAUACAUGCACACACAUAUCAACAAGUUUCAUUUUACUAUACGUCUGACUUUAAUUAAUUCAAUUGUUGGACUGAGGAAAUCUUAAAAAUUAAUACAAUGGAUGAUCAAUUUGAGAUAAUGUCACAGUAAGAUUUUCAAAAAAAUCCACACACUGAAAAAUUUUGAAAUUUUAUGGGAGCAAAUGAGUAGAGAAAUGUGGACUAGUUUUGUUUUAUUUUGGGGAGAGAGAAAAAAAGGUCAAAAACAACUCAAUAAAUUAUUUACAAAUAGUUUGAGUCUUAUGGGCUCGGGUCAUAUCAUCAAAUAAAUAAGUUCCAAUUCAAGUGAUUUCAUAAAACAAUGGUACCCAUGAUUCAUAUUAUAAUUCCAAUUGUCAAGGUCGUUUGUCACAACGUUCUUCUUCCGAUAGGCAUGAACCAACUCGAAAUUUGCUAUGUGUAUCAUAAAUUGUCUGUAUUAGUCAAUAAUGUUGGUAAGAUGAUGAAAGCUGUUAUUAGUUAUAGUGUUAAUUAAAUAACCACUAUAACUGAGUCCAUCUCCACAUAAAGACUGGAAAUACUUUUGUUUAUUGCAAGUUAUAGACCAAAAUAAAGCUCCCAAAUUUCAGCAUCAACCACUUGCCUUUGCCAAAGUUGACUAAAACCCACCAGGCCUAUCAUCACUAUUAUCUCGUAACACUCCCCCAACACAUAUAUUUCUUAAAGUGUUGAAUUACAUAUAAACAAGAACAAAAUUAUAUUUUCACCUUCUUUUGAUUGAUACGGAUAGUUUUAGAAUUCAAUUAAAUGUAGUGAUUUCUCGGGACAUUUACGACUUGGAUGAUCGGAUCCAUCUUUCUUAUAUAAAGGCUUUAACCCUAACUCUGUCCUCUUCUGUUCAUCAUUGGUCGUCGCAUACUCUCAGAGUCUACUCUUCCAUGAAAACCAAGCCCCGUUUCUCUUUCAACCAUUUCUUCUCCGAUUGCCAUUGAUUUCUGAUUCUGCAGUGAUGAUGUAUGAUAACCCCGGCUCUAUGAUUUAUAUGUCAGAUUUGAUUUGGUUUAGAAUUAUUUGGUCAGUGUGGUUUUGGCCACGAUGAAUGCAUAUUUUCUCAUUUUUGAAACUCGAUCUGGUUUUCGAUUUAGAUCUGCAUCUGAUACUGUUUCGAUUUUAAUUUUUUUUUUUUUUUGGUAGGAAAUUUUAGGUCCGGAUGUUUUUAAUUUUUUUUUUAAUCAGUAGCUUUUAUGGUUUGGUGCGAGGUCCAUGGUUGCCGUGCUUGUUUGGAUUUUGAUGAAAUUUCAAAUCUUUAGGAGAAUUUGAGGUUAGGCAAAUGAGCAGUUUGCGUGCAAGUUUGAAUCAUCGUUCAACUUCACCAACCUUUUUGUUUGCAAUGUCCGUUUUGUGGUUUUCACAUUUAGUAUAUAGACAAAUACAUCUUUAACUUUUAACUUCUGUUAAUGAUAACGUGACGUUCACGUGUACAAUUAUUGAGCAUCACCUAUCAAUAUAGGUCCACUUUAAUAUUAAAAAAAUUAAAAAAAAGAACAUAAACACACAAAAAAAAAAAUCAAAAAAAAAAAUAUCCGUACCCACAUUCUCCCUUGCACCCUUUUCUCUUCUGCAAUCCGCACCCCUUCCUUCCCUUCUUUCUUCUACACUUGCACUAGACUCGGCAGUUUCUGACACGACACGGUGAUACGACACGAAAAUAACGGGUUUCGGGUCAACACGAUAAUUUAUCGGGUUAUUAUCGGGUGACCCGUUAAGAAUCUGUUAAUAACGAGUAUACACGCAGGUAACACGUGAGUAAUCCGUUAAGAAAAAAUUUAUUUUGAUAAUUUUAAAAUUUAAUUACUAAAAGAUUUAUUAUAAAAUACAGCCAUAUUAAUAUAUACAAUAUAUUCUAUAUUAAAUAUAUAGUUUUCUAUUAUUAUUCUAUAUAAGUUAAAAAAAAAACGUUUUAGUCAUUAUUUAUUUUUAUUAUGAGAGUUCUUUAUUAUCAUUACCAGGAUAAAUUUUACUUAACAUGUUGUUGUCCAAAAUUAAAAUAAACUAAUAUAGUAUUUGUAUAGGUAAGAACUAAGAAGAUAUACAUACAAGUAUGAAAAAUAUGAAAGAAUAUAUAAACACUCGUGAUUUAUCAUUAUUCUUCUACGAGUAGAUAAUGGUUACACUUACACUAUCGUUUAGAUUUUUAAAAUCUUCUAAACCUUUAAGAAUAAUGUUUUUUAUUUGAGGGAAAAAUUAAUAAAAUUAAUAAUAAUUAUUGUAGAAGUGUAAAAAAUGUAUAAAAAAAAAUAUACAAUCACUCAUAGUGACAAACUUUACAACUUUCAUGAAAGGAUCAGCUUCGAAAUACAACACUAUAAUUCAUAAACCUUAAAUUUAUAUUUAACCAUCGAUUGCCAUUUACACUUUAUUAUUCUUACUGAAUUUCAUUUUUAAAAUUUUCUUUUUUGAAAACAUGAUUAUCUGGCGGAUGUAAGAAGAUGAACAGUUCAGAUCUUUGAUAUCACGUUUCGAUAUUUAUGGUUAACUGAAAUAUGAGUCGAAGUCAUAUAGUUUGUAGAAACUUUAUAAACAUCAAGCAAUAUUUUCACUAAUCGUAAAACUCUGAAUAUAAUAUAAACGAUCCAAACCAUUCAUCUUCCUGCAUCCUCUAAUAGAUCAAGUUUUCAAAAAACAAAAUUUGAAAAAAAAAAAUUUGAUGAGAACAAUGAAGCGUAAAUGUAAACAACAAUCAACGGUUAAAUUUUGAUCUAUGAUUUAUAUGAUUAUAGUGGCGAAUUUCGAAGUUAAGCUCUUCAUGAAAGUUGUAAAACUUGUCAUUACGAGUGUUUAUAUAUUUUUUUGGGUAAAUUACAUAGUAGCCCCUCAGGUUUGAGGUCUAUUGCAAUCUUAUACAACAUCUUUAAAACAUUUCACUUUUAUACCUCAAGUACCAUUUUAUUUCAAAAUAAUACAUCCGUUAGAUUUUCCGUCCAUUAAUCCGUUAAAUGCUGACGUGGCUGCCACAUUUGUGCCACGUGGCUGCCAAAUGUGAGCCACGUGGCAAAAAUAAUAAUUUUUUAAUUUUUUUUAACCUAAAUCUUCUAAAUUAAAAAAAAAAAAAACUGAAACUUUAUCCCUCCUAUUCCUACUUUCUUUUCCCCUCAACCCCCACCAUCUUCAUCUUCUUCCCUGCAACCCAGGAGAGAGAGAAAGAAAGAAAAAAAAAAAGCCCUUCAGUUUGUCUUCCCCACCCCUCAUCCUCCUCCUGUCUUCUCCCCCAUUUUCAUAUUCUUCCCCCGACCCCCUACCUGCAACCCAGGAAAAAAAAAAAAAAACUCAGAUCCCGUCAUCGUCGGGUUCGUGAGGUGGGAGGAAUGGGUGUGGAUUUAAGGAGUGGGGGGUGUAUAGAGGAGGGAAGAGGGUGGGUGCGGAAGGGGGUUGAGUCGCGGGGGGAGGGAGGGGGUUUUUUUCUUUCUGGGGUUUGGGGGGGUUCGCGGGGGUAGGGGGUGGAUUUUUUCUUUCUGGGUUGGGGGGUUCACGGGGGUGGAGGAUGGUAGAUGAUGCAUGGGAUCUUGGUUCGCGCAGGGGGAGAAGGGGGGAUCUGGGUUCGCGCGGGGGGAGGGGCGGAUUCUGGGUUUCACGGGGGGAGGAUAAGGAGGGGGGUUAAUGGGAUCUGGGUGUGGGGGGGGAUAUGGGAUUGGGGUUCUUCUUCUUUUUCUUUUUUUCUGGGUUUUGGGUUGAAGGUGCAGGUAUGGGUUUUGGGUUGAAGGUGCAGGUAUGGGGGCGAGGAGAUGGGAGGAAGAAGAAUGAGGAAGAAGAAGAAGAGAAGAAGAAAGAGGAGGAGAAGAAGAAAAAAAAAAAGAUAUGUGGCAUACAGGUUUCUAAAAAAAAUUAAAAAAUUAUUAUUUUUGCCACGUGGCUCACAUUUGGCAGCCACAUAGCACAAAUGUGGCAGCCAUGUCAGCAUUUAACGGAUUAAUGGACGGAAAAUCUAACGGAUGUAUUAUUUUGAAAUAAAAUGGUACUUGAGGUAUGAAAGUGAAAUGUUUUAAAGAUGUUGUAUAAGAUUGCAAUAGACCUCAAACCUGAGGGGCUACUAUGUAAUUUACCCUAUUUUUUUCUAUAUUUUUUUACACUUCUACAUUAAUUAAAAAACUAUUAAAGACUUUAGGUAAGUGAAAAUAUACUUAAAAGAAAAUUGUGUUUUUAUGUUUUGGAUGUGACAAUAUGGUAUGUAUAUACUUAUUUAGUGUUAUGUUUUUCAUUUGAUUAUUUAUUGGUUUAAAAUAUAUUUUCCUUAACGGGUAACGGGUCAGGUCAUAUUACCUGUUAAUAUUAUUGGGUCGAUUUCGGGUCGGAUUAUUUUACCUGUUUAUUUUAAUAGGUGUUACACGACACGACUCGUUAAGAUAUCGAGUAUGACACGAAAACGACACGAAAACGGAAAACACGACAUGAAUGUCGGGUUUAACUUGCACCACCCUCCCUUUUCUCCUUUACAACCCGUGCCCACCCUUCUUGCACACCCAACCCAACAAAAUCCCACCCAAAGGAAUUCCAAUUCAACAAGAAACCCAUCCUUCUCUUCUAGAUCGUCGAAUCCGUAAAUCGGUGGCGAAGACGCGUCGUUGGGACAUUUCGAGCUGAGCAUCUCCUUCAGUCGCUGGUCAAAUCAGCCAUUGUUCCUCAGCGAGUUGAGUGCCACAAGUCCUCCAAACUGCUUCUUGUUGAAGAAAAUUUGAGGUACAGAUGAGCUACUCAUCCUCUUCACCAGCUCAUUCUCGCAAUUCGAAUACACGUCGAUGUUGAUCUCCACGAAUUUCAACCCUUUCUCUCUCAAAAACCCAUGCACCGCCGUGCAGUCCCUGCAAUUCAACUGAGAGAAGAAGCUGAUUUGACCUUUUAGAGCGGAUUGUCCCUGUGGCUUAGGGUUCAGGUCGAAAUAUUUUCAGGGAAAAGGUGUGGGGGAGAAGGUGGGUACAGAUGUUUUUUUUUUUUUUUGUGUUUUUAUAUUAUUUUUUUAAUAUUGAAGUGGGCCUAUAUUGACACGUGGCAUUCAGUAAUUGUCCACAUGGGCACAACGUCAUCAGUUAACAGAAGUUCUAACGGAAAACUUAACAGAUGUAUAAGACUGUCCCAAAAUUAACACUUUAGGUAUGACUCUGGGACGAAAAAAACUUCAUGUACUAAAUGUUGAAAACUACGAAACUUGAGGGUAGUAAACUGAGAUUAACCGUUUCGUUUUUUUUAAUGGAUUUAUUAACUCAAGCUUUUUUACACUAACCUUCUAGUCCGACCCCCUUUCGCUGGCCCAAGUUCGAUUGGUAAACCGUCUGGUUCAGCCGAUUCAAUCACUUAACCAUCCAAUUUAGCCAGUUAAACCCGGUUCGUUGGGUCAACUGUCUGGCCUAGCGGGUCAGUUUGGGUCCGGCAGUAUUCUUCAAAUCCAUUAGUUUAUAAUUAAUAGUUCGUUUUGCGCCUCAACAUAUGGUUCUGUUACCCUCCCAUAGACUGCUAUAAUUUAUACGAGCGUAAUUAGAUAGUUCUUUGCUCCUGUGGACGAUGUGGGACAACAGUUUGGUUUCCCACCUCUUUGCUAACUCCCAAUGUUUUUGCUCAAAUCCCACAGAUCCUUGUCCUUAUUUAGCUAUUUCGCACCAAAAUUCUUCCCCACUGAAAUAUCAGCUCCAUGAAAGAUGAGCUCCAAUUUAAAACACGACUAAUCCGUUCCCGUUCAGGACCAUCUGUCCAGUACGUUCUGGUUCAAAUCCGAUAUGGUAAGUCUAUUUGGUCUGUUUCGUUUGAUUGGCUCGGUCCAGUCCGGUCGGCCCGGCACGGCCGGCUUAGUAAGUGCCAACCAUUGAACUUGAUUUGCCAAUAAAUAUUAGUCUCUUGUGUACCUAUCAUGGUAAAUGGCAACCAUUAAACUAGGCUGGUUUAGUAACUGUUUCGUAUUUAAAUUUUACGGGCUUUUCUUCCACUAUUCUUCUAUUUUCCUCAGUUCUGAUGAACAUGGAAAUGUAAAAGCACACUUUUAAGUUCACUGGGACCACGAAAAUACUCGAUGGAAAGCACCAGUUUGAGGACAAAGAUAGGGUGCCACGAAAUAUUCCUGGUGGCAAUGUGACAUCUUGUGGGAAAAAAAAUAUCACAUUCAAGUCCAGUGUGGAGUUUAUAGAAGGUUUUAAUAAGAAGAGCGAAAACAAGUGCAGGCUCGACAUUAAUAAGUUUGCGGACCUAACUAACGAGGAAUUUCAGGCGACGGGUCAAGGCUACAAGAGGAUACACCUCCCAGAGAUCAUGUACAACUCUUCCAAAGCAGCUCCAGAUAACAAUUUUCGAUAUGAAAAUGUCGACGUGCCAAAAUCUAAGGAUUAUUUUUCAAUUGGCGCUGUGAGUCUGUGACCACGGUCAAAUACCAAGGGCAAUGUGGUAAGCAUGCAAGAUUAAGCUAUCUCUAUGAGGUUUUACUUUCAUAGAUCAUGUAAUAUGUGUUCUUGUUUGAUUGUUUGAAAAUAAACGAUGCGUUUGUUUCCAAAAUCUGAACCUGGAUACCGCAUUCAACCAAUAAUUAAUAUGUUUAUAGUCGAUAUGGCUCCGGUCAAAAGCCAAGGUUAUGACUGUGGUAUGCAUGCAUUAAGCAAUUUCUAGUCAUUUGCACGAGAUAAUACAUGCAUGUAAUGUAAUUUUUUUUUCUUUUCUUAUACUGAUUAUAUUAAGACAGUGUAAGAUGUUUAUGUUACUUUGCCAGAUUUUCAAUUUAAGGGGCUUUUAGAGAUGAGGGUUUGUCAAAGAUUAUUUUUAGAAUAUAACUUGGAAGGUUUUUAUCUAAAAAAUAUCUUUUAUUCUAAUGCAUUAUGAUAUGUCACUUAUAAUAAAACCACAGGUUUUACUACUAUUAACAAGAAUGCCAUAUUUAAUGUCUACAAUGUAACCUCUCCACCAUUAAAGUUUGAAAAGGUAACUGUAGAUUCAUUAUCACCCAUAACCUCUAUCUUCAUUGUCUAAAAAAUGCUAUCUUUAUUGUCUAUAACUACUUACUUCUUUUUAUUUAUUUAUUUAUUUUUAUAUUUAUUCAAAUUUGAUAUUGGGUGAAGAAUGCACUAAUUUAGGUCCGAUAGUUUUGGUAUAGUCAAUUAGGUAAGCUAUAUAGUUUAGGUAUGAUAGAUUCAAUACGGUCAAUUUGGUACGAUUAGUAUUUUUUAUGUUUUAGUUCACUAGGUUUGAUAAAUUACGUACGUUAUAUAGUUUAGGUCUGAUAGAUUUGGUACGGUCAAUUUGGUUCCAAUUUGUAUUUUUAUGUUUUAGUUCAGUAGGUCCGAUAGAUUCAGUACGAUCAAUUUGGUAUGGUUUGUAUUUUUUAUGUUUUAGUUCAUUAGGUCUGAUAGAUUCAAUAUGAUCAAUUUGGCACAAUUUGUAUUUUUAUGUUUUAGUCCAUUAGGUCAGGCCAAUUUGGUACGGUUUGUAUUUUUAUGUUUUAGUCCAUGAGCGGUAGGUCUCGGGUUCGAGACUUGGAAGCAGCCUCUCCAUAAAUGGGGGUAAGGCUAGCCGACAUUCACCUCUCCCAGACCCUGCGUAAAGCGGGAGCCUUGUGCACUGGGUACGACCUUUUACGACCAGUCCUUUAGGUCUAAUAAUUUAUGCAUAGGCCUUAUACAUUAGUUAUGAUUUACAAAAUGCUUUUCAAUUUUUUGGUAUGUUUGAAUCCCUUAAAAGGGUAACAUAGGCAAACUACAAUAAAUUCAUAAAAAUGUAAUUAAAUUCUGACAUGGACACGAGUCAAUGGACUAUUGUUAGUUUUUCAUCUUACAUACGGUACUAUUAAAAACAUGGUCUUUUUUAGGGAUUAAAAUGAAGUUUUUAAACAAUUUAUCUAACUCAAUGAUAUUUAUAGGAUGUUGUUGGGCGUUCGCAUCAGUGGCAACCGUAGAAGGGCUUAACAAACUCAAAACAGGAAGCCUAAUUUCACUAUCAAAACAAGAGCAGUUAUGAUCACGGUUGCGAUGGAAGUAAUUCAAAGGUUGCGUAUGACUACAUGAUCAAACGCAACAAAAGCCUUGGAACUAAAGAUAAUUACCCUUACCAGGCUAAAGAUGGAGGAAUUUGCAGAACUACUACUGUUGCUCAUGCAUCUGGUGCCAUAACCAUAACCGGCUACGAGAAUGUGCCUGCAAACAACGAAGAUGCAUUGUUGAAAGCUGUUGCGAACCAGCCGGUUUCUGUUGCCAUUGAUAUUAAGUAUUUUAUACCUUGAUAUUAAGCCAUGAAGUGACUGCAGUUGGAUACGGUACUAGUAAUGAUGGGACUAAGUAUUCGCUGCUCAAGAAUUCUUGGGGCAAAGAGUGGGGGGAGAGUGGAUACCUUAGAUUACAAAGAGAUGUGCCCACCAAGGAAGGUCUAUGUGGCAUUGCUAUAGAAGCUACCUAUCCAACCGCAUGAUAACUUAAAAGGAGUAUUUUAACUUUAAUUCUUGAAAAAGAUUGAAAUUUAAUAAAAACAUGGUGUUAGAUUAUAGUCCUUGAUGUGUUCUUAAUUCAAAUUAAUUAAUUUGUAUUUUAUUUAAUGUCUCCUAUUAAAUGUUUGAAUUUAUUAACAUACACAUUUUAAUUUAUUUUUUGAUCAAAAUUUUUUAUUUUAUUAAUUUUAUUUAACAUUCUUUAAACUUGAAAGACUCAAUUAAUGUACCUAAAUGUGUUUUUUUUUUUAACAAAUGAUAUUAUCUACACUAAGAGAAUGGGAGUCAGCUUAGCCUUACAAUGGGCUAGAAAUAAUGUGAUUCGAUUUCGCCUUUGGCAAAAAUCGAACCUAAGAUCUCUCACUUGCAAGUGAAGAGGAAUAUCACUAGACUGUAGUAGUAAGUGGCGAUUAAUGUACCUAAAUGUUAGUACUGAAAUGUAUUAUACUAAAUUAAUGUACCUAAAUGUUUGUACCGAAAUGUAUUCUAUUGAAUUAAUGUACCAAAAUAUUUGUUACCGAAAUGUAUUAUAUUAAAUUAAUAUACCAAAAUGUAUGCGCCAAAAGGUAUUAUAUUGAAUUAAUGUACCUAAAUGUGUGUACCGAAAUGUAUACACCAAAAUAUAUUAUAUUGAAUUAAUGUAUCGAAAUGUUUGUACCGAAAUGUGUGUACCAAAAUGUGUGUACCGAAAUGUAUUAUUGAAUUGAAUGUAUCUAAAUGAAAAAGACAAAGUAUAUCAAGAUAUAUUGUUUGACAAAAAUUAGUUUAUCUAAAUGUUUACAACAAAAUAUAUAAUAACUCCGACGAAAAGAAAAAAGAAGGCGUUAAAGAUCCUCUUGGCCCAACCUUAGACACUCGAUUUCCACGGGCGAUUGCAUCGCAAGGACUUUCUUGAUUGGCUAAGUGGCGUAGAGAAGUUAUAUUAUGAUAAAUGAAAUAAAAAUGAAAAUGACAAUAAAAUAUAAUUAAUACAUUAAAAUUAGGUAGUAAAAAAGAAAAUAAUUAAAACGUCAAAAUAUAAUUAAUAAAUGAGGUGAUUAAUGUAUAAAGUGACUAAAAUUAGAUUUGAUCUUACUCAUAGUUUUAGUCAAAAUGUCAUUUUUACUACUAGGGAUUACAAUGAAGUUUCCUAAUUCCUAUAACUUGAACCACCUGCAAUAUUAGCUGCUGCUAAUUCGUGAUUAGUAGGAUGGUUUAAUUUAAUUAGGUGAAUUAUUAUUUUCUUUAUGUUUCUUGUUCAUCACUUGUUUACUAUUGCAUACCACACAAGCAUGCAACCAAGCUAGAACUCAACAUGAUAAAUGUAGCGUCCAUGGUGUUUUUGGUCGUGUUGGAUUGACUCUCUCCAUUAUUUUUUGCGAUGCAAGUUCUUUUUCAUGAUCAACAUCAGAUUAAAGAAGCAACUGGAGUACCUGCUCAAUGCAGCUACUAAUUCAAUUUUUUUUUCUGGUUUACUUAAUUUAGCUCAUUAUAUUCUAUAUGUUUCGUGUUAUUUACUAGUAAAAUGCUAUCGCUUUAUCAAUGGAGAAGUAUUGUUGGAUUCCAUGUCGAUAAAACUCCUGAUAGCUUUGCUUUCCAGGGCUCAUGCCCUUUGUCAUAAACCUCCAAACAAACAAAUCCUAAAGCCAAAAUUGUCGAAACCCCAAAGCCAAAUGCCAAAACGCGAAAUCUCCAAACUCCAAACAUCGAAUUUGAAGGGGUUUAGGGCAACUGGAUCCUAAAUUGUUAAUGCAUCUCUGACAUUCAGAAAAAAAUAAACACAUUGAGUGAGGAGGGUACAACAACAACAACAACAACAAAGUUUUUUCCCACUAAGUGGGGUCGGCUAUAUGAAUCCUAGAACGCCAUUACGCUUGGUUUUGUGUCAUGUCCUCCGUUAAAUCUAAGUACUCUGAGUCUUUUCUUAGAGUCUCUUCCAACGUUUUCCUAGGUCUUCAUUUACCCCUUCGGCCCUGGACCUCUGUCCCGUAGUCACAUCUUCUAACCAGAGCGUCAGUAGACCUUUUUUGCACAUGUCCAAACCACCGUAACCGAUUUUCUCUCAUCUUUCCUUCAAUUUCGGCUACUCUUACUUUACCUCGGAUAUCCUCAUUUCUAAUUUUAUCAUUUCUUGUGUGCCCACACAUCCAACGAAGCAUCCUCAUCUCGGCUACACCCAUUUUAUGUACGUGUUGAUGUUUCAUCGCCCAAUAUUAUGUGCCAUACAACAUCGCUAGCCUUAUUGUCGUCCUAAAAUUUUCCCUUGAGCUUCAGUGGCAUAUGACGGUCACACAACACGCCGGAUGCACUUUUCCACUUCAUCCAUCCAGCUUGUAUUCUAUGGUUGAGAUCUCCAUCUAAUUCUCCGUUCUUUUGCAAGAUAGAUCCUAAGUAGCGAAAGCGGUCGCUCUUUGGUACUUCCUGAUCUCCGAUCCUCACCCCUAACUCAUUUUGGCCUUCAUUUGCACUGAACCUGCACUCCAUAUAUUCUGUCUUUGAUCGGCUUAGGCGAAGACCUUUAAAUUCCAACACUUCUCUCCAAAGGUUAAGCUUCUCAUUUACCCCUUCCUGAGUUUCAUCUAUCAACACUAUAUCGUAUACGAAAAGCAUACACCAAGGAAUAUCAUCUUAAAUAUGUCCCGUUAACUCAUCCAUUACCAAUGCAAAAAGGUAAGGACUUAAGGAUGAACCUUGAUGUAACCCAACAGUUAUGGGGAAGCUUUCAGUUUGUCCUUCAUGAGUUCUUACAGCAGUCUUUGCUCCAUCAUACAUAUCCUUUAUAUCUUGGAUAUAUGCUACUCGUGCUCCUUUCUUCUCUAAAAUCCUCCAAAGAAUGUCUCUUGGGAUCCUAUCAUACGCUUUUUCCAAAUUUAUAAAGACCAUGUGUAAAUCAUUUUUCCUAUCUCUAUAUCUUUCCAUCAAUCUUCGUAAGAAAUAUGUUGCCUCCAUAGUUUAGCGCCCUGGCAUGAACCCGAAUUGGUUGUCCGAAACCCGUGUCUCUUGCCUCAAUCUAUGCUCAAUAACUCUCUCCCAAAGCUUCAUUGUAUGACUAUAGUUCAUGCAAUUUUGUACGUCGCCCUUAUUCUUGUAGAUAGGCACCAAAGUGCUCUUUUGCCACUCAUUUGGCAUUUUCUUCGUUUUCAAAAUCUUAUUAAAAAUGUUUGUGAGUCAUGCUAUACCCGUCUCUCCCAAGACUUUCCACACUUCAAUUGAUAUAUUAUCUGGGUCCACUACUUUUCUAUGCUUCAUCUUUUUCAAAGCUACAACCACUUCUUCCUUCCUGAUUCAGCGGUGAAAUGAGUAGUUUCUACACUCUUUUGAGUUACUCAACUCCCCCAAAGAAGUACUCCUUUCAUGUCAUUCAUUGAAAAGAUUAUGAAAAUAACCUCUCCAUCUGUCUUUGACCGCGUUCUCUGUAGCAAGAACUUUUCCAUCCUCAUCCUUGAUGCACCUCACUUGAUUUAGGUCCCUUGUCUUCUUUUCCCUUGCUCUAGCUAGUUUAUAGAUAUCCAACUCUCCUUCUUUGGUAUCUAGUCGCUUAUACAUAUAGUCAUAAGCCGUUAGCUUAGUUUCUCUCACAGUUUUCUUCGCCUCCUGCUUCGCCAUUCUAUACCUUUCACCAUUUUCAUCGGUCAUAUCCUUGUAUAGGGCUUUACAACAUUCCUUCUUAGCCUUCACCUUUUUUUGUACCUCCUCAUUCCACCACGAAGAUUCCUUUUGGUGUGGAGCAAAACCCUUGGACUCUCCUAAUACCUCUUUUGCUACUUUUCGGAUACAACUAGCCAUGGAAUCUCACAUUUGGCUAGCUUCCCCCUCUCUAUCCUACACGCAUUGGGUGAUUACUUUCUCUUUGAAAAUGACUUGUUUUUCUCCUUUUAGAUUCCACCAUCUAGGCCUUGAGCACUUUCAGGUCUUGUUCUUUUUUCUCUCAAUGUUGAUUAGCCAAGCUCUCUCCCGGUACCGUAUAACUUUGCAAUCCUUGCAAGUUAUACGAUCCCCCAUCCUCAUUAGAAGAGAAUCUAUUUGUGUUUUUUCGUUCAAAUAUAUGAUUGUAUACAUGUUAGAAUUGAAUACAAACUACAAACACAUUGAAAGAUUGAGCAUUCAAGACCCAGAGCUCUGUGAAUUGACCUCCAUUACAAGCAAAUAAUCCAAUUAUAUAAAUGGAUGAGAAGCUAAACUCAUGGCAUUUCCUCACAUAAUCACACACCUCAAACAAAUUACAAUCCCAAAACGUCACAACCCACUGGAUGCAUCUUCUAAUCUAAUUAUGUUGUCACCCGCGCCCAGAAGAACGAAGAACACCAAGACUUAGAAUGAAGAUACCAUCACAAUGUUGAAAUUUAGGAUUAUUUUGUUAUUUGAAUUUGGGCUUAGUCUGUUAGUAUUAGGGUUAGGGUUUCGUUUUCUUGCUUAUUGGGGUUAGGUUAGUUCUCUAUAUAUAUGAUGUUUUGCAACUCGUAGAAUAAACAAGUCAUUUACAAUUUAGCCUCUUGGAGUUUUGUAGCCGUUUCGGCAUUCUCGUUUAUUUAAUAAUACUAUUAUUUUGUUAGUCUUGUUCGUUACACACUCUGAUAUUUAACUUGGUAUCAGAGCAGGUUUGAUUUUUUCGGAUUUAAUUUGCUUCUGUUUGUUCAUAUUAAUUUGAUGUUUUUGUCCAGUUUCGAUCCUUGAAACUUUUUUCGUUUUCUAGUUUGAGUUACCCUUUGUCGUUACAAAAAAAUAUAUAUAUCUGUUAAAGUUUGAAGUCGGAGUCGUGCCGAGCCACCAGCCGCUGCCCUUGCUGUCGCCCACCGUUGUGUUCGUUCAUGUUCCCUUCGCAAAGAUGAACCCACCAACCUGUAUUGCACCUACAUCAGACCCGCGCCACUCACAGCUGCCUGCAUCAGGUCACCACCUACACACUGCCUUCAACCCGCACCAGAAUGCUGCCUGCAACCCGAACCCGACCUGCCGAUCUAACCGAUCCACCACACCACUGCUAUACCUCUAUCUCGCACCGCUGCUGUACCUACUGCCAUCCCUACCUUCAAAUGAUUCGUUCCCUGACCUGCUGUUGCACAUCUGUCGUUAUGCCGACUAAGCCAUCCUGACCAGAUUUGCUGAACCAACCCUCCACCCCGCUACGUGUUGUGCCUUGGCCCGUUAUCUCACCAACUUAUAAACCAACAGUUGAACAAUUUAAAAUACAAGAAAUAAAGACACCGAGAAAUUUACGAGGUUCGGCAAAAACCUGCCUACGUCCCCGGAGAUAUUACUCUUCACUAUGAGAAUAACUAGUACAAGAUACACUUGAGUUAAAUCGACAUAACCCAAACCCCAAUCCCUUGUACCCUCACAGAAUUUUCCCAAGAGUCUUACUCUCCCCAAGAGCUUCUCACUAUCACUCUAUAUUUUCUCUCACUUGUGUUUUCCUUUGGAUGCUCUCCCAAUCCUCACAAUCGACAAGCUCACUCCAUUUUGUGUGUGAAAAAUGCCUUCACUUAUAGACAUGCACCAUCAAUUAUGUCAACCACACAAAACAUGCUUCACAAAAACAUGCUUCCUCAAAACAUGCUUCCACAAAACAUGCUUCCACAAAACAUGCUUUCAAAGUCCACAAAGUUGAGAGGAAAUGUUUGCCAACUCAUAAUUAUAUGAGCCAAACACAACAAUCUCCACCUUGGCGAAUAUACUGUGCAAAAAUCCUUGCACCCAUCACCAAAGUCCAUUGGCCUUACGUACCAGCAUACACACCCUGAAUCAACCUCGUUGGUCCUGUUCCGAUUCAGUCACUGCCAAUGCAUGUGCAGCUGCUGCAAGCUAAAAAUCACCAUUUAGCUUCAGACAGGAUCUCGACAUAUCCUCGUCUCCUCCAGCAGGUUUUCCUCCUCUUCAUUGUCUGCAACCUGGAAACUCGUCAGCGCGCCCGUUUCCAGUAACAACCCAUCGAGCCAGACAAAAUUCCCACACUUCCUCCUACCUCAUGAUCAUCUCAUCACCUGUGAAUCCCAUAGCUCCACCUGUUGCAAAACCCUUGCAACACUUGAGACUAAACAUCACCAGGAGAAGUGUUGCUUCGAGUACCUAGAGGGCAUACUCGAAGUCUUCCGCCACAAAAUUGCUACAACCCGGACCAAGAUCAUCCUUUCUUUUUCUCAAAGGACAAUUUUUCUUUUUAUGCCCGAAUUCUUUGCAGUUGUAGCAUUGUAGACCUUUGCCUCCGGAACCGGAUUUGAACCUGUUGUCUCUCUCAGAUCCUUCUCCCAAUUUUCUUCCACGAUUCCAACCUUGAACAGCUAAAGCAGUCUCGUGCCCACCAUCAACAAUGGUCUUCUUCUUUUGUGUAUCAUAAGACACCAAAGAAGCUUGCACCUGCUCCAAACUUACUGUAUCUUUUCCAUGCAGUAAGGUUGUCACAAGAUUUUCAUACGAAUUUGGAAGUGAGGUAAGAAGUAAGAGGGCUUUGUCUUCUUCCUCAACCUUAACAUCAACUUUCCGCAAUUGAUCCAAGUAUCCGUUGAACUCAUUCAUGUGGUCCAUGAGAUUCCCACCUUCAUCCAUCUUCAGCUUGUACAGUUUCCGCUUCAAAUGCAACUUGUUGGUCAAACUCUUAGCAAUAUAGAGUUUUUCCAACUUCUCCCAAAGUGCAGGCGCAGAAUCUUCAUCCAUAACAUUAUUGAUAAUGUUAUCAGCUAUACAGUGUCGAAUCGUGCUAACACAACGCGCCUCCAGCUCCUCCCACUGGUCAUUUGUCAUUUCUUGAGGCUUCCUAUCUUUUCCCUUCAAAGCUCUAGCCAAGCCUUGUUGAGUCAAGACAUCCUUUACUCUCAUCUGCCAAAGAGUAAAACUGCCUUUCCCAUUAAACUUCUCAACUGAAAAUGACAUGUUUGUAGUCAUCAUGGUGAAUAAAAAAUUUGAACCGUCAAUGAACCAAAGCUUCCAACAAAGCUCUGAUACCAAUUGUUGUGCCUUGGCCCGUUAUCUCACCAACUUAUAAACCAACAGUUGAACAAUUUAAAAUACAAGAAAUAAAGACACCGAGAAAUUUACGAGGUUCGGCAAAAACCUGCCUACGUCCCCGGAGAUAUUACUCUUCACUAUGAGAAUAACUAGUACAAGAUACACUUGAGUUAAAUCGACAUAACCCAAACCCCAAUCCCUUGUACCCUCACAGAAUUUUCCCAAGAGUCUUACUCUCCCCAAGAGCUUCUCACUAUCACUCUAUAUUUUCUCUCACUUGUGUUUUCCUUUGGAUGCUCUCCCAAUCCUCACAAUCGACAAGCUCACUCCAUUUUGUGUGUGAAAAAUGCCUUCACUUAUAGACAUGCACCAUCAAUUAUGUCAACCACAAAACAUGCUUCCACAAAACAUGCUUCCUCAAAACAUGCUUCCACAAAACAUGCUUCCACAAAACAUGCUUCCUCAAAACAUGCUUCCACAAAACAUGCUUCCUCAAAACAUGCUUCCACAAAACAUGCUUCCACAAAACAUGCUUUCAAAGUCCACAAAGUUGAGAGGAAAUGUUUGCCAACUCAUAAUUAUAUGAGCCAAACACAACACUACGGUCUUUUGCUUCCUCGCUUGAAAAGCAUGUAACCACACCUCGGAGUCUGAGUUCAGAAUGUUGGUUUGCACUUGUUUUGCACUCAGUUUGCUAACGUGAACUGAAGAAAAAGAGAAUGGAGUUGAAGCUUUGGUCCUUGUUGAUUGAAGCUAUCGUUGGGCUUGUAUUGGUUGAUUUGGAAUGAAAUUUGUUUGCCAAUCACUCGAGUGCUUGAACUUGUGACCACCAGAGUGAUAAGUUUUGUUUUUUAUUCGUUCGUUGCUGCAGUUGGGAUAUAAGAAUUUAGUUCGUUUAGUGACAGAGUCCAUACUUCCAACAUUUGGUUGCCAUAAUUUGUUGAUUGCUGGAAUUGCUUGUUCGCUCGCUCGCCUGCUCGCUUGGAUUGUUCGUUUGCUAGCUUGAAUCGCUUGCCUUGUUUUGUCUGCCUAACGGAGCUUGCCUUGUCGUGUCCGCCUAAUGGAUCUUGUCUUGUCUUCUCCGCCUAACGGAGCUUGCAUCCGCAUCCGCUUGUUGGCAAACUCAUGACAUGUACCGCCAUGAGUUUGACGGGGGGUGUUGGAAUUUAGGAUUAUUUUGUUAUUUGAAUUUGGGCUUAGCCCGUUAGUAUUAGGGUUAGGGUUUCGUUUUCUUGCUUAUUAGGAUUAGGUUAAUUCUCUAUAUCUAUGAUGCUUUGUAGCUCCUAGAAUAAACAAGUCAUUCACAGUGUAGCCUCUUGGAGUUUUAUAGUCGUUUCAGCAUCCUCGUUUAUUUAAUAAUACUAUUAUUUUGUUAGUCUCGUUUGUUGCAUAUUCUGAUAUUCAACUCACAAUGGUUUUGAGUCACUAAGCAUCUGUUAUUGCCUGAGAACUCCGUUUGAGCUGAAGAUAAAGUUCUCUUCUCCGGCAAUGGUGGAAUUCAGGCCUCCAACCAUUGUUCACUGAGUGAACAUCAUUGCUUCACUCAUUUGGUUGCUCAAACUCCGGAAGAACCUUCGCCUUUCUCUCCUUCCUUCUCUUCCUCUCGUCCUCGCGCUCCUUCCUCAGCCAACUCUUGACUGUCCUCUGCAUACCAAACCCAAAUCCAAUCUCAGUAAAUCCAAUCAUACGGUUACAAAAAAAUAAUAAUAAUAAAUAAAUUACCCUUUUGACUCACCAUUAGUGACAACUUGGAGAUCUCCCUAACUUUCUCCAUUGGCAUUGCUAGCUGCAACUUCCCAUUCGCAACAUAAGCGAUAUGCAAGGGUCAAUCUUCCAACCCGUCAAAUAUAUGCGUGGCGUAAAUGAUCGUGGCGCCUCGUUCUUCGCAUUCCUUCUUCAGGAACUUGAGAAGGCCAGCUCUUGCUAGGACAUCGAGGUCCACCGUUAUCACGUCUAGCAGAAGAACCUAUUUGGAUUCAGAAACAAAUCAUCAAACACUUGGCAUGCGUAAAAAAAUACACCAUCAAAACUGUGAAAAAUGGACGUUGACUACCUUGUAUGGCUUGAGCAGACCCAUACAGAUUUGCACUCGUCUUCUCUGACCAUCGGACACCUUGUGCAACCGCCAUGAAAGAUCAAUAUUCAAAACCUUUAUCAGCUCUGAUCUCCUUUCUGGAUCGAUCCCCGCCACCCCAUUGAUAAACUUAUCUGCCGAAACGUCCAUUUGAAUCGGGACAUCAAACCCAGCGAACGCUACAUCUCGCCGCCACUCUCCGCCGAGAUACGAGAGGUCACCGGAGCCGGUCAAGGUGGUGUCGUGAAACGCCGACCUUCCGAGCACGCGAACCAUGUGGGGCUCGACCAUGUGCUUGCCGCCCAGGAUCUUCAAGAUCGUGGUUUUCCCCGCGCCGUUGGAUCCCACGAGGAGGCAUCGGUCGCCGGCGUUGAGUGUGAGACUGAAGUCCUCGAUCAGCGGCUUGGAGCCAGGCGGCGGGUGGCCAUUGAUUCCUGGGUAGUUGAAUUUUAAGCCGCUGAGAGAGAGAUGAGAUUAGAGAGAGAGAUGAGAUUAGGAGAGAGAAAGUGUGUGUGCCGACAUGAACGUGACGGAUUCUUUAAAAAUUUCGGCGAUGGGACGAGUUUGGAAGUCGACUCAGUGGAGGAGGCGUGGACAGCUCCCAGUCACAAACUCGGAACUCGGAAGCUACGAACUCGGUAGUUGGUAGUUGGUAGUUUGCCAUGUCAUCCAAUGAAAAGCAGACACGUUGCUGCAUUUACACAAACAAAUAAGGGUUCGGAUCCGGACACGGGUUCGGGUCGGACCCAACUUCUAGGUUGCGGUAACUGGAUCACAAGUCUUCUCUCCUAUACUCCUGAAUCUGGACUGAAGGUGUUUUUCUUGGAUUCCGAAAUAGCCCUUGGAAAUGGCAGCAAUUUACAGUCUCUACAUCAUCAACAAAUCUGGCGGCUUGAUCUACUACAAGGUAACAAAACCCUAGAGAUUUCAAUUUUCCCAUUUAUUUUCCUCUUUUUUCUCAGCAACCAAACAUGAAAGUUAACGAAUUUCGAUUCUUCUUUCGGAAACAAAAUUAGGAUUACGGGUCGGCCGGAAGGAUGGACACUAACGAUACCUUGAGGGUUGCGAGCUUGUGGCACUCGAUGCACGCCAUUUCUCAGCAGCUGUCGCCGGUAUCGGGCUGUUUCGGAAUCGAACUCCUUCAAGCUGACACCUUCGAUCUUAAUUGCUUCCAAUCACUCACUGGUACAUUUCAAAGUCUUGACCUUUUUCUCUUUUUCUAGAAUUUGUACUGUAAUUUAAUGUGUUUAGGACUAAUUUGCAAUUGAAAUAUUGAAGUCUCACUUAAAUUUAAUUGAUUUCAAAUUUGCAGAUUGUAAGUUUUGUGUAGAAUGUAGAAGGUAAAGUUAGUGAGCCUUUGAAUUGGGUGAGCUUAAGUUGAGAAGAUUUUGUAUCGCGGAAUAAAUUGGCUAUCUAUCUGUUGCUAGUCCUAUUUCUGAAUUCUGUUGUGCAUUGCAGUAGUUUAGACGGAGAACAUGACACAGAAUCGAGCGCAAUGGCGUUCUAGGAUUCAUAUAGCCGACCCCACUUAGUGAGAAAAGGCUUUGUUGUUGUUGUUGUUGUUGUAUUGCAGUAGUUUAGAACCAAUUUAGGUUAGAAUCUAGCGGAUGACGAUUAUUUCGCGGAGCGGAGGAAUAGAUUCAUUACUGAGGUGAAUGCUAAAUAUUGUCAUCGAGCAAGUUGAUUUGUUCAAUGUCUGACACAGCUAAUGGCAGUGUUCUUGUAAGCCAAGUGUAAGAUUUAGGCAACUUAUAUCUUGUGGUUCUGUAAUUUGGAAGAUGGGUGCACAACGAGUGUUUCGCAAGUGGGGUGACUGCUAAAUAUUGGGAUUGAGUGAGUUGAUCUGUUAACUGACAUAACUAAUCGUGGUGCUUUUGUACGCCAUUUGGUGUCAACAACAACAUCUAUCUUGCGGUUCUGUAUUUUGAAGAUGAGUUAUGGACACGAGUUUUCCUCUACGUAAUCCUGUGUGAUGUUAUCGAUUUCCACAUAACUAGGAUCUUCUUUGUUCUGGUUAUAGAAAGGGUGAAACUUUUUUUUUUUUUUUUUGCUCGUUCUAGUUUCUAUAUGCUAGAUCACAACACUGUACAUUUUACACAUCUUAACAGCCACUAUACUUGAAUUUCAUAAGGCGAAUGAGUUGGUUUAGUAUCCUGGAUAUUGACUCGGAUCCAUCUGCCUCGUUUGGAAUUUGUUCAGCCGGAAGUUACUGGUUGUUUGAGUGUUGACAAGUUUUAUUGUUUCUGAUUUUAGAGAAAUUGAGUCUCUGUUACGUUAGGCUUGGCCUUUUCAUUCCUUUUGAAUUGAGACAUUCUUAUCGAGCAGGAUGUUGGUUUCAAUGACAUUCUUUUCAUUCCUGUGGCUGUUUAAUUUAUCCUGGGAAGAGAACAUUUUUCUGGAAAUUUUGAAGAAUGUCUUGGAUUGUGAAAGUGAUGAUUUAUAUUUUCACUAUUUGCAGGGACAAAGUUCUUUGUUGUCUCUGAGCCUGGGACACAGCACAUGGAAGGUCUCUUGAAACAUAUCUAUGAGUUGUACACGGAUUACGUCUUGAAGAAUCCCUUCUACGAGAUGGAGAUGCCUAUACGAUGCGAGCUCUUCGACAUCAACUUAACACAGGCUGUACAGAAGGAUCGUGUUGCAUUGUUGGCCCGAUGAUCUGCCUGAGAAUUUGUAUGGUAUCUGUGGUUUACAAUCAAUAUCUUUUGUAUGGUUUUAGCUCACCUUAACUUUGGUGUUGGUAAUCAAUCAGAUAUGGGCAUUGACUAACUCAAGUUUUAAUCCCAAAUCGCCGUGUAUUCAUUUCCAGUUAAAGAUAACAAAGGCUGUUAUGUGUUUAUGCGUUCUGGUUAAACCAAAAGAGGGUAAAAAAACAAUUUGGUAUUCUAUCAUAAAAUAAAAUCAUGAGAGGCAAUGUAAUUUCACACAUUAAAUUUUACUCUUUUUUUUUUUUCAAACCUCAUCCACAUGUAAAAUUAACUCACAUUUUCUCUCACAUUUCUCUCAAACUUCUCUCUUUGUCAUAUAUUUUCUUCAUUUUAAAUUUUUUAUAUUCACACACACCUAAUGUGUGAGUUUCAUCUUUUUUCUUUCUUUUUUUUUUUUUGGUCUGAAAUAUAAAUUUCAUUAAUCCGAAAGAAGGUUAGAGGCUAACACAUAGCAAGGCAAAAUAACCCAAAUAUAUUGAGGGAAAAUAGAUAUAUAAAAGUCUAGCCCAAUUAAAUAAGUAAAAACGAAAACCCACAUCUAAAAAGAGUAAACUGUCGGUUUACCCCCUGAACUUUCACCUCACUUUCGAUUUCCCCCCUGAACUUUUCCAUUGGAAAAUUAAGGACUCAAACUAAUUUUUUUAGCCAAUUUGCCCCCUACCGUUAGUUUUUCAUAUAUUCCAUCCAUAUUUCCGUUAAGUGAGACCAUGUGCACAACAUGUGAGGGUAGUUAAGUUAUUUCACUCUUAAAAAUGAUUAAAAAACUGAAAAUAAUAAAAAAAGCAAAACUUUCCCUCUAUUUUUUCCCGCUAAUUCAUAUCCUCGAUUUUAUUUUUCCCUCUCAUUCCUAUGCAUGAGAAAUGACAUAUGGUGUUAUUGUCUACCAUUUUUAUUUUCUCUAACAAAUUAAUAAUUUGACAAAUGCUAAUGGUGCUAUUGUCAAAUUAUAUUAAUGCACUGCUUUGGAGACAAUAACACUAUGAGCAUUUGUCAAAUUAUUAAUUUGUUAGAGAAAAUAAAAAUGGUAGUACAUGCUUCAAAAAAAAGAUUAACUUAGCUACUUAUGAAAACAAUAACACCAUAUGUUAUUUCUCAUGCAUAGGAAUGAGAGGGAAAAUUAAAAUUGAGGAUAGGAAUUAGCGGGAAAAAAUAGAGGGAAAAUUAUUAUUAUUAUUUAUUUUCAGUUUUUAAUCAUUUUUAAAUUGAAAUGACUUAACUAUCCUUACAUGUUAUGCACAUGGUCUCACUUAACGGAAAUAUGGAUGGAAUAUAUGAAAAACUAACGGUAGGGGGCAAAUUGGCUAAAAAAAUUAGUUUGAGUCCUUAAUUUUCCAAUAGAAAAGUUCAGGGGGGAAAUCGAAAGUGAGGUGAAAGUUCAGGGGGUAAACCGACAGUUCACCCCAUCUAAAAAUAAGUCUUUGCACUAAUUUAACUGUUCACCUUUUUGGCAGCUUUGUACUCAAUGUUUGAAUUUACGCAGCUUUUGGCUCUUCCCUCCAGAGCGUUGAAGGAGCAGAGCAACAACAUAGCAGCCAGCAGUCUCAAAGACCCAAAACAGAUGAAAUUUUAGCAAGAAUUAAAAUGAAAAAGAAUUUGCAUUCAUAAAUGGAUUAUAAUUUGGGUACCCAGAUUACUGGGAACCUAUAUUACAACAUGGCCAGCCCCCACAUCUCUUUUUUCAAUUUUUCCAAUUUAAUAAUAUUACAAAAGCAGAACACCUAAAAAUUAUUUUUCGGAGAACAAUGUUUGGUUACUUAAAAAUGAGAGGAGGAACUCCUUCUCAAUACGCUUCGUCACCAACUAACCGAACUUCAUGCUUAUGUCAGAAGAGUUAAUGUUAUAAAUAAUUUUGUAAAGAUCAUCUUUGCAAAAAAGUUAACAAAUGAGAUCACUUUUGGUGAUCGAACUAUGUAAAAACAAAUGAACGGAUUUUAUAAAAGCAUAAUGAACCAUCAAUCUACUUGCUACAGUUGAUUGAAUAAACAACCUCGUUUUCAAUUGAUUUUUUGUUCUUUACAAAGUAAUUUAUAAUGUUAACGAUUUUUAUCAUAAGCACAAAGUUUUGUAAACCUUGUGACUAAGUAUUUUGACGGGGAACUCCUCAUUUUUUGAGAAGCCCAAUUUAACUCAAUUUCCGUGAAAAGGGUGAGUCUCACAUGUUUAAGAUGAAUCAAGGCUCCUGCUAAGCGCAUGCGAAACCAUAGUUUUUCCUAAAGCUAAACUCAUACAAUGAUUCGAUAGGAUAGGACUUAAAGGGGCAUUUCCCAAAUGAUGUUUGAAGAAAAGGAAUCCCUAAAGCAAUUGUCAUAACACCCGACAUUGCACUAGGACAAGAGAUGCUUCCCACUACAUUAACAAUUGUAAUGUACUGUAGAUCCACAAAAAAAUAGUAAUACUUUGCUGCUCAAUUCUCAAAUAUAAUAUUGAGAAAUAUCGUCUCUCAAAAAAACAUAGAUUAUGUUAAAGUUCACUAAAAAAUAACUAUGAACUGUAUAAUUGUUUGAAAUGAAAUGACUCUGAACCCUUUUUUUGGGGUCCCUUCCAGGCAUCGAAAAAUAUAAAAAAAUAUAGUUCACGUAUUCUAGAUAAUUACGUAUUUAAAUUCUAUCCUAUUUCAUCAGAUUUGUUUGAAAUGAGAAGUUCAGAGGCUUUCAUUAACUCCAGAUUUUAGCAAUGUUUUGUUCAUUCGGUUCUUGGUUUUAACUAUAUCGGGAUCGACUAUGCUUUGUUUGGUAGUAUAGCAGGCUUGUUUUAUUUGCAAGAUAAUACAAACCGUAAAUCAUUCAGAUGCAAAAUUGGUAUAAGACUUAAACAAAAUAAAGAGUGCAGGGUGACAGAAUAAGAUAUAUAAAUUCAAUAAUUAAUAUAUUUCUAACACUUUGUUCACCAACUUAACAUUUGGAGGGAAAACUAAUCAACAUAAGGGGAGGCAACAAAAACAACCCCAAUACUAUUAUUAAACAAAAAACAAAGCCCUGUAUAGUUGUAUAAACUUGAAUUUCUCAUCAGGGCAACCGCAGGCAUCAAUUAAGCGGCAGAUGGGGCGGUAGCGAAGUCGGGCACGCCAGCCUCCGAUAGGGCCGCCUCCUUGAAUGGCUGCACAUCAGCCUCAGUUGAAACCACGGUAUUCUUGUAGUCCAAUGACUCAUCGUCGUAAAUAUCCCACCAUUUCUUCACCAGCAUCUUAAUGUCUUCCCUCUCCAUGUUCUCCUCCUUCCCAGUGUAUCUCCAUGGCUUAGAACCCUGAACAAAAAUUAAAAUGUGUUACGAUUUUAUAAGUUGUAGACAGAUAUUAAAGCAAGAACGAACGUGCAUCAAUAUUGUUAGAAAUGAAUUUGUAUUUUAACUAGUACUCACGUUGGCACAAUAGUGAACAACUUUGACUUGGUCAAGUUGAAUGUUCUCAGGGUGACGCCAUAACAUGGCCAACACAAGGUUGUAAUUUGAAGGGAUGGGCUUGUAUUUGUCCCUGAAAUACACGUUCAAGAAGUCCUGCAGGAAAAAAGGAAAUUACAAGCUUAAUAAAUAAUUAUAAAACAAUUUAAGUAAUAUUUUUAAACCAAAGUUUUGUCGGUCGAAUAGUAAUCUUUUACCUGCUCGGCAAAAGAUGUGGUGGGAGAAAUCUGGAGGGUUUUGAGGAGGUCAUGGUAGACCGGCAAGCUUGGCUCAUACACAAACAUGCCAGCAUUGAAAUAGAGGGGAGGCCUGGGGCCCAACUUAGGGUCCCAUUGGACCUUAUUAGGGCACUGCUGGCAGUACCCUAUCUUAUACUGUGGGCUACUGCUCCAAGUUGGCUCACAGAAGCAGUCCUUCACAGCAUAGAAGUAGUUGUCCGGGUAGUCAAAGAGGUGAUCGAUGUUCUCAAAAACUUGAAUAUCUCCGUCCAAAUAGAUCAUCUUGCUGUACUCCACAAACUGCAAAAUUUGCAUUGAAAAAUUAGGAUCACAUAUGGUUUGCCAAAAAAAAAAAAAUAGGAUCACAUAUGAAUAUUAUCUAUAAAAUAACACGACCUAAUAAAAUUGAUCACAAACUUUUAAAAACCUAACCGACAAAAAGGACACGCGUCAAAACCAGUUAACCUUGAAACAUAUACGUGUUAAAAACGGCAUGAAAGCACUGAGAAAUUUUUAACUGUGAAGGUGAUUCAAUCACUUAUUUUUAUGUAAUUUUUAUGUAAGUGAUGAAAAAUUUUAUUUUUUAAGUUAUUAAAUUUUUAACAUACAUAUCUUUGUAAUACCUUUUAUGACAGUCAUACUAAAAAAAUCUCUCGAAAGCACUAAAAGAGUUUAAAACGUUACCUCCCAAAUGCGAAGCUUGGAGUAGUUGAUGACGUAGUAUGCCAUGGCGAACUGGGUCUGGUUGGGAGGAGGGUGCACAGGCUCGAUCUCUCUGAGCACACAGCCCUGAGAGAUCAGAAUCCGGCGGUGCUCUUCAGGGACGUCGGGCAGCAUGGCCACAACAAGCGGGUACUUGCUCUUCACUUUUCUUAGCCCCUUGGCUAAGCCAACAACUCCUUUCCAGUAGUCUCCCGCACCAGCCAAGAAGGUGACGUAGGCCCUAUUGGGCCCGCUUGGUGGUUUGGUGGCAGCGAUAGCGGCGGUGGGGGUGGUGAUCGCAGGAGCCAUGGUGUUUAGGCUGAAUUGGGUUUGGUUGCGAAAAGGUUUCAAGUAGUAAAAUGGAGAGGAAGAUUUAAGGCUUUUGGUGUUUGUUUGGAAGAAAAGGUUAUGUUUCUUGCUUCAAUAAGGUUUAGAACUCAAUGUUUUGGUUGAUGAGUUGGGGCAGUGGGUUGGGGGGGGGUUUAUAUAGAAUUGGGGAGGGGGUAAUUUCUAAUUUUUUUAAUUCAUUUUUUGGGUGGGAUAAAUAGGAUCGGUCGGUCAAAUUAUGGUAAAAAUGUGAGAUUAGGGUAAGUACUUUAAUGUUGCUUGUGGUCUAAGGUGAAGAGUCACGCCAUUGGGCCCAUCGGUCAUUUUAUAAUAUUAUUCAAAGAUCUUGAAGACGUUAUCUAAUUAGUAUCAACAUCAAAUAAAUGUAGGGAAUUAAUUGGGCAGUUUUAGAGAGGAUUAUGGCCCUUGAUGAAGCGUGACAUAAGCUCCAAAUUAAUUAACGAAUAAAUUUUGAUCCUGUAGGCCGACCCUUUUAAAUUUCAUAGACGAUAAUAACCUUCUUAUUUAUCAUUUUUUACACAACUAUUUCAGAGUAGUGGACGUCAACGCACUUUUAUUUAUUUAUUAUGGGAAUCGACGUGCUUAUAGGGAUUUAAGGGAUCAUAUUUAUAUGUGGAAACAUAAAUCUCGUUUUGAUGUACUUUUAAAAUAACUGAAAACACUUUUGAGGAAAAUAUUUUUGGAAUAAUCCUUAGUAAAAUGCAAGUAAUUCAUGAAAAAACACUUAAAGUGCUUCCUGGAAAAAGCACAUAAUUGAUGCUUAUUGCAGAAAGCACUUCAAGUGCUUUUGGGACCCAAAAAUAUUUUCUCUAAAAACGAUUUCAAUCAUUUUAAAAAUACAACCAAAUGAGUCCAUAAUUUAUUUUAUCUUUGGAGGCUCAAGCGGAGACCUGUUUACUUAUGUUUUCUCUUAUGAACCUCUUGUCUCCAACUAUUGCUUUUUUUAUUUUUAGAAUGUUCAAUAUAUGUUUGACAUCUUCUAUGCGAAAAUGUUUAAUUUUCAUAAGAUCUUCUUGACUGUUAUUCAAAAGGUCAAUAUACAUACAUUAUUGGACCUUUUGAGGCAACUAUAGAUCCUAGGGAGCAAUUCUGAUUGGUCAAAAAUUAGAACAUCAUAUAAGUUAUCAUGCUUGCCUAUCCACCAUUUGAGUCUCUAACAGUUAUUCCAUAUUACAUAUCCAAUAGUUGACCUAUGGACGAUUACGCAAGCAUAUGUUUCAUGCUUGUUUGUAUUUGUGGGAUCAUAUUUCUUUUAAAGAUAAAACACAUAAAAAAAAUGUCUUAGUCAAUCAUCAUUUUCCAUAUUAGUUGCCACACAAAUUUCGGAAAGUAUAAUUAGAGGUAUUUAUUCUUUUAAAUUUCAUAUUAUCCGGACUUUAAUUACCAUUUCGAUCUAGGAAAAUCUUCUACAUUAUGUACAUGGAUCUCAAAAUAUAUGGUGAAAUGAAACAAAUGAAAGACAUAUUUUACCAAAAGAAAUACAUUUUUUUAAAUGAAAUAAAUACAUUUUAUUACAUGUGAUAUUGCUACUCCACACUGUAUUUAAUAAAAAUGAAAAUAAAGAAGAAGUCAAACAUCUUAGAAUUGGAGUCCUUUCAUAUUAGGCUGAAAAUUUCAGUUUGAUUUCAAUUUUACAAAAAUCAAACUCCCCUCGUGGAAGAGUAAAAUGAGAAUAAUCAAUAAUAUAUUAGGAAAUAGAUGGUCCUCAUAUGUAUUAAACUAAUACAACUAUAGUAAGUGUUACAGUUUUAUCAAGUAUUCAGAAAGGCGUGUCACUGGCCCACUCCUUAUUACACCGAUAUUAUAACCGUUAAUCAAUUUAUUGUUAGGUGUUGCGUUUUAUCACAACAAGCUCGAUAUUAUUAAGAAUGAAACCAUACACUUAUAUAUUGUUUUUUAUUUUCUCAAUUCUCGAUGUGGGACUUAUAUUCAACACGCCAUCUCACAUGGGACCACAACAUAAUAGACCACACGUGCACCAAUCCCACAUCGCACAUAAAGUGUAGAAGCAUAGUGUUACAAUAAACCCAGUAACGCGAGAACAACACAUACCCACGAUCAAACCCACUAUGGUUCUAUAUCAUAUACUCAUAAAGACGGACCAUCCACACACUCCUAACCAUAUAUGUAUUGUCUCAACUUAAUUCCCUAUUGUUAUGUGUUAUGUUUUAUUUUCUCAAUUCCCAGACUUAUGUUCAAUAAGUUCUUCAUGAUUUUUUAUAAAAAUAUUCAUACUUUUCUGAUUUUAUAUGUUUAAGAAACAUAUAAAAAUUAAUAAGAGAUGAGUGAUUUUGAUAAAUCACAUUUUAAUAAUCGCGUUGAAAAAGUAAGAUCAUAUCACUUAAACAAGUUACGUGCAUGAAGUAGACAUCCUAAAAAUUGCAAAGAAUAAGAAUAUUGGUGCGUACAAAAGAGAAAAAAAAAUGAUUAAUUUAAUUAUUUUGUUAAAAUAAACUAUUAUCAUCCCAUUUCUUUUGAUAACAAGCAGGGAGAAAAUGGUAAAUUCAAAAUAAACAAUACGUAACGUUUUGCAUGUCCACUUUCCACCGUCGGAAGUUGCUAAGACUUACACCAAACGAAGAAUACCAACCUCUAAUCUCAUCACACGACAGUCACACCCUCCUCGCCACGUGGAAAAUCACAGAUACGUGGCGCGCUCACAGCCGCCUGGAUUUACUAACGCGGGGUCCACCUACUUCAAACCGAAUUACUUUUUCCACCCCAACUUGUACACUUUUAGGAUAUUCUAUAGAACUGGGCCCCUCCCAUUGAAUAUCUUACGUGUCCCGCAACCGCACGGGAAGAUGCCAUGUGGGCGCGCCGAGUGGCAGAGGAGGACGUUCGGAGAAGCAACGAGGCACCAUUAAUUGGAGGGAGAUUGUCUGCCUCCUUUUUUUUAAUGGCCUUCUCAUUAUUUUUUAUUUGUGCGGUUAUAAUUAAAUUACGUUAAUAUUUUAUAUUUUUUUAUAAAGAUAAUAAAACAUAAAAAUAUAAAAAUAUAAAAUAUUAACGUGAUUUAACCGUAACUAUACAAAUAGAAGAGGAUGAGAAUGACACCUAGACAAUCUGACUCCCUACUAAUUUUUUCCGAGUGUCGGUUUCUAGUUAUGUUAGUUGGUCCAAAUUAAAACGCGUUUAAAGCUAAUUAGCACGCAGAUACUAAUUUGGUGUGGCAGUUUGAGACGGUGGGCCCUGGCGGGCCCAUUAGUUUAUAGGAUAACGUUUACCGACCAAAUCUUUGGAUAAUGUUUUGGUCUUUGGAGUGAAAAAACGUUAUACGAUAAUGUUAUUUUGAGGUCACUAGUACACUUUUUUGACCCACUUCGUAAAAAAAUAGGAAAAUGAAAUUACGAAAAAUGUUUUCAAAAUCUGAGGAAUAUUCGGUUAGAUAUUCUUGGAGAAUCUUCUAUUCCUUUCGGAAAAAAAUAAUAAUAAGAAUUUUGGGAUCUUUGAUUUAACGGUCAAGAUUCUAUUUUUUUAAUGUCCUGAUUUUGAGCCACUGAUAUUUGAGUGCAUUUAUUUGGCACUUUUUCCUUUUGAAUAUAGGAACCUUCCUUGAAUGGAUUAGGUGUAUUUGGAUGGAAAAUGGGGACUAUAUCGAAUGUCUGUUCUCAUCAGCUGAGAAUAGAAAUUAGGAUAUCAUAGGUCUAGAAUUCGAUUCGUGUGAAAAUACGUACGAUAGAAGUUUUUUUUCAAAAUUCUCGUAAAGCGACGAGCCUUCUUAGCUUAGGGUUGCCCUUAGGUCUAGAAUUCGAUUAGGGCAUAAUAGGUUUAAGGUUCAAUUUCUCGAUUAACCAAAAAUCUAGAAUACGAAAGAAGAAAAAGAAAAGGCUUCGGUAACAAGUCAAUCGUUGGGUUGUGGUUUAGGGAAUUGGGGUAGGCUCAAAACUGAAAAUACACACUUUGUCACACCAAAAACAGGCCAAAAUAUCUCCACAAGACUGCCCAUAUUCGCAUGUGGCCCAGAAAGAAUAUGUGGGUUAAGUGUGAAAGAAUUUUGGCAUUUUUUCGAUCAGGUGAUGAGACAGAUCGAGAAUUCGAGAAGAGAUAGAGAGAAGGAAACAUAUAGCCGUGACAUGUAAGUUUUUCUUCUCUUGCGGCCUUUACAUUUACUCCAGUGUCGCUGUUGACGCCAAUUCGGCAACGCUGCUGAAUCUGGCUGUUUGAUUUGCUUGAACUUGUUCAUCCUUGCAUUUAGAAAAAUAUAGAAAUGUCCUUACCCCAAUUGGAACAAAUUCAACGAAAGAUUAGUCGCAGGGUUUAAUUUUCAAAUAACAUAUUUGUGGACUUUGGACUAAAAUACCAACCAAAUAUAUAUAUUUUACGUUUAGAGAUUUAGGUGAGGACAAGACUUUUGCCAAGAAUGAUGUCAUCUGUUGAGAAAUCAGCUGCUUUCCUGAAUGUUCCUCUCCCAAAGUCCAGGUUGUACGAGUCUGCAAGACCUUCCACCAGGCCAUAUUCGGGCUUCCAUCCGAGCACGCUCUUUGCUUUGUCGAUCGAUGCAAAGAAAUGCUGCGUUACACGAUCGAAGUUGGUUAGUCAGGUUCCGGCUUCAUGAAAGUAAUAGAACAAGUUUUGUUUAGCUUCUUAUCAAAUUCUUAAAACGUCUCUAAGACCAUGUUUACCUGGUCACGGAAUGGAAAGGCCUUCUUCUUGCCAAAAUCGAACUCUUUAGGGUUGUAGUGAAUGAUCUCAGGCUCAGGAAAACCAGCAGCCUAACAAAUGUGAAAACAUAUGAGAAACUCUAGUUUGAGAAGAUUAUGAAUAUUUGUCUGUCUAGAAACUUAUUCAGCAAGCAAUUACAUUUGCGCAUGCUUUCGCUAGUCCGUCAAAGGUGACAUAUUUGUCUCCGGAGAUGUUGAAUACUUGUUUGCUGGCCUUCUCGUUACCAAGAACCUUAAUGAAGGCUGUCGCUAAGUCCUGCAAAACGAAUUCACAUAAAAAUUUGCCUUUAAAUGCUGCAAUACAGAAAUCUAAAGAAGUACAUCAUGACUGACUGACACUUCACACUAACCUUGACAUGACCAAGCUGUGUAAUUUGUAUCCCCGAGUUUGGAACUGGGAUUGGGCGGCCAGCUUUCAACCGGUGGAAGAACCACUCUUCAACAGGGUUAUAGUUCAAUGGUCCAUAGAUGUAGACUGGCCUUAUUGAAGUCCAGUUAACACCCUUUGAUUCGAGCAAGUUCUCUGUCUCGAGCUUUCCCUUGUGCCUGCUCUUUGGAUCAACUGCAUCAGUCUACCACCAGGAUUUGUCAAGUUUAGAAUUAUGGUAAGAUAAAUAGAAUGAAAUAGAAAGGAUAAAAAGUAAUAUAGAGGAAAAACAAGUCAGGAAUUAAGCUAGAACUUCCACACUGCCAUGAUAGUAGGACCGAAAAAAAUGAAAAGUAGCCAUUUGUAACAUCAAACAUACCUCAAAGUGAGGUAGCUGAUCAGAUUUGAGAUAGACACCGGCUGAAGAGCAGUAUAUGUACCUGAGAUUUCAGCGGAAUUCUUAGACCUUCUAAAAAUUUCCAUUAUAUAUAUGUGUAAAAUUGGAAAUAAGUGCAGUUUUAAAUCUUUUCUGCAUCAAACAUUAGGUCUACCAUGUUAGUGUUCAGUUAAGUCUUAGAAUGUUUUCAAACAAACUAUAAGCAUCAGCUCUCGCACUAAAAAAGUUGAUCAUUCCAGGUCAUGAUUGAUUCCUUGCUUCCAUUUGACUCACAAUCACAUCUCUAACUACGGUAGUACCAUUGGUCUUCUGUACACCUGAAUAAUGUCAGCUGAUUUUCCUCAUUUACGACAUAUUUAACGAAAACCAGGUUUAUUAUCGUCUGAGAUAAUAAAAUGGAAGCUGCAGUCAAAGGUACUUGUUUUGUUUAAACGUUAAUUUUGCAUGUAAGAAGCCAAUGUUGCAUACUAAGCAUCACAUGCUUGCUAGUUUAGAGUUUACUUAUACUCCAAACAGUCCUAAUCUCAAACCAUAUCCAGGAGAAGAUGACCUGAUACUAGAGAAACCGCCACGAAAUAUAGGUAAAAUAAUUUCAGUUGCUUUACCAAUAAGAUAAGCUAAUUCAUCAGAGGCUGUUCUUACUGUUCUAACUUCGGUAGUCCCUCAAUUAUCGGCACAACUUCUUCUGCCUCUCGUCCUGAAAAUUUCCAAGAACAGAUUAUGAAGCAGAACUGUAAGCUAUAUUACACAAGAACAAAGUCCUAGUGCGGCAAAUUCAAAUUGCAGAGGCUAAAUGUAAGACUAUGCGCACCAUUUAUAUCGUAAACAACAUCGUAGCCUUCAGCUGAAAGACUGGAUUUCACAAAGUCAUAGUCCUUUCUGUCUCCUUUCAAGUGCAAAAUCUAGCAAACAUGAUCACUAAAUGAAAAUCUGGGAAAGCAUUAGAAGUUAAUAAUGGACUUUCAAAGCCUAGUGACACUGUUAUAUACCUUUGAAGCGAAAUCUGUGUAAUCCGCAUCGGAUUCUCCUGGCAACUGCUGAGUAAUGGGUGCUUUUCCUCUGGUAAACAGAGUCACCUGCAAAAGUAAACUCAAUUUCAUAUCUUAUCGAUGUAUCAAAAGGAAAAGUGUGACUGUCACACUACUACGUGACAAUACUAAUUCACGCACUCUCACUAAUUCCAUGACAAGAUUAGUAAUUUCACGUAGCAGCGUGAUAGUUACACCAAACUCAUAAUGAUGAAAGCAAAAUCAUAGUAGGAAAAUGAUGAAAAAUCGAAAACUUGGAAAUUUAGAAAGAGAAUGAGGAUACCUGAUGACCCUCCUUAACAAGGAGUCUUGACAAGAAGAUGCCGAUGAACCGGGUUCCCCCCAUUAUAAGAAUCUUCUUUGCACUCGAUGCUGAAACUUGCAGCGCCCUUCCUCUUGGCUGCGAUGCCCUUCUUUUACACUGCAACAAUUAACAAAUGGGGUUCUAACUUCUAAGUUGAAAACAAUGAAAUGCAAGUAAAGUUAUAAACUUUCCGGCAAAUGGGUUGGUUUGAUUCAACAAAAAGGAAAAUUUGAUUCUACCCAUUAAAGAAAAGCAUCAUAAGAAUGCAUAUUUUAGAGAGAGAGAGAGAGAGGGAGAGAGAGAGAGAGAGGACCUGGAGUUGGGAGUGGAGGAGUUUGGUGCCAUUGAAGUCAGAGAGAGAGGAAGGAGGGAGGAGAGAGAAAGAUGGGUUUCUCUGCUGCGGUUGCACAGCCACCAACCUUGCCAUUUCUCUCUUCUAUUCCACAAUUAUCUAUCCAAUCUUCUUCUUCUUCCUCUCUCUCUCUCUCUCUGAGUGUGGGGUUUUCUGAAAUUCUUGAAAUAUGUCAUGUCGUCGUCGUCUUCUUCCUCUUUCUGUUGGCGAUCUCUCAGUCGAACGUUCAGCUACAGGAUAAGAGGGUAUGACCCACCACCACUCCUUUUCGGUUUGCCCAUAUCCAUAGUCCACUCACUCCUCGGCCUCUCAUUCCACCACCCUCAACCUCCCUAAAACGACGCCGUAAAGGUCAAAACUUUCGCGCCUUAAACCCCCAAAUGCCCAUUUGUAAGUUGGGUUUGGGCUUUUGAGUUGGGUCAAGUUUUGGGUUUUGGGCUUUUUUGUGUUCUACAAAAUCUCCAAAAUCUGAAUCUGAGAAGGAGAAGGAUACGAAGAAGAAAGCUUCUGCUGUCGCAGAGUUGAAGAGCUAAAGCUUCUAAAUUUCGAUUUUAUUUUUGUGGAUUUGGAAUUUAUUCUAAUUAUUUGUAGAGAGAGAGAUGUUGCAGUGCAUAUUUCUGCUAUCGGAUUCUGGGUAAGUCACCAAUCUUUGAUUUUUUUUUUCUUCCAUUUGAUCUAAAAAUUUAAUUGAUGAAUUUUAGUAGGUAAAGCAAAUUUCGAUUUUUUGUUGUUAAAUUAUGGGACUUUUCAGUGAGGUAAUGCUGGAGAAACAACUUACUGGGCAGCGUGUGGACCGUUCGAUAUGCACAUGGUUCUGGGAGCAUACGGUUUCUCAAGGUGAUUCCCCCAAGGUAGCCAUUGAAAUUUUUUAUGUUUUUUAACCAAAUUGUACAUUUUUAGGCAGGGGUGUAGUCACAUUGGUUAGAGAGGACCGGAUGUGCUCUCUAUGCACCCGGAGUUUGAAUCUCCCUCCCGUAUUUUAGAUUAGUUUAAAGUAGAAUAUUGCCCGAAUUAAAAGACUUUGUGUCUGUUAGCUUCAUUCCAAAACUUUCAUAUCUGGUUUUCUCAUACAUUUAUGAAUCUUUCAAAUUGGGCUUGUUAUCUUGUAUGUAGUUGUUCCCUUUUCUCUUUAUUUAUGUAUACAGUUAUGUUGAUAUGUAGAUGGUUGUGUGCUUGUCAUUCCAUUUCUUACACCCUAUGUGUGAUUUUGUUAUUAGCUGCAAUCGGUAAUUGCUUCACCAACGCAUUAUCUUUUCCAAGUUCUUCGCGAGGGGAUAACGUUUUUAGCUUGUACCCAAGUUGAAAUGCCGCCUUUGAUGGGCAUCGAGGUGAAUAUCAUAGCGGAAUGUGCAUUAGAUUGUAUGAUUUGAUUGUGUAUGCAUUGAACAAGAUUGAACUUUAACCGUUUGACUUGUAGUUUCUGUGCAGGGUGGCUGAUGUCCUGACAGAUUAUCUCGGCAGCUUGAAUGAAGACUUGAUUAAAGAUAACUUUGUCAUUGUAUAUGAGGUAAUUGUCUUCUAGAAUGUGUUGUCUGUUGUGCAGACAAACGUUUGCCUUCGUGUGUAAACCACUUAUAACGUAGAACUAAAAUCUCAACAACAUGAACAAGUUCAAAAUUUUACCUCCGUGACUGUGAUUGUUUACUGACUAGAACCUGGCCGCUAAUUAGUCAUCAACUACUGUAUUCGAUGUUGAUUUUUGCUUCGAUUGAAUUUACUAAAAUCUUUACUGCUGUUUGCAGCUUCUGGAUGAGAUGAUUGACAAUGGCUUCCCUCUCACGACAGAACCGAAUAUUCUGAGGGAGAUGAUUGCUCCACCAAAUAUAGCAAACAAGAUGUUGAGUGUAGUCACUGGCAACAGUUCCAACGUGAGCGACAUACUUCCAGGUGCAACGUCAUCUUGCAUUCCAUGGAGAACAACGAACCUGAAAUAUGCAAACAAUGAAGUUUAUGUUGAUCUUGUUGAAGAAAUGGAUGCAAUUAUAAACAGGUCUAUCUUUUAUUCUUUUCUACGAGAUUAAAAGUUUCGAGUCUUAGAAGUUGAUUCUAAUAUCACUUCUUUGUGUUAUACAAGUCAAUUGGUGUUUACCUUUAACAGUUUAACCGCUCAAAAUUUUAUAAGACAUUAUCAUUUAUGGAUGGUGAUGAUUAUUGUACGAAAUUUGCAGAUUCUGUAGUUAUAAUUGAAUGAAUUAUAUCUCAAUUUUUUGUACUAAAUAUUUCUGCAUGCUGCUCAGGGAUGGGGUCAUGGUGAAAUGUGAGAUAUAUGGUGAAGUUCAAGUAAACUCCCAUCUCUCUGGUGUUCCCGAUUUGACUCUUUCAUUUGCAAACCCUGCUGUUCUUGAUGAUGUAAGAUUUCAUCCGUGUGUUCGGUUUCGCCCAUGGGAAGCCCAUCAAAUUCUGUCUUUUGUGCCCCCUGACGGACAGUUUAAGUUGAUGAGUUACAGGUCAGUGGUGUUAGAGGGACACUGGAAUUCGAAGCUUACUUAUGUGCAGUAUUUCGGUGUCUAUGUCCUUGUUUUAUUUUCUAAAUAAUUCUACGCUUCUUUUAUGCAGGGUUAGAAAGUUGAAGAGCUCUCCAAUCUAUGUAAAGCCCCAGCUAACCUCAGAUGCUGGGACAUGUCGUGUUAGUGUGUUGGUUGGAAUACGAAAUGAUCCUGGAAAGACGAUUGAUUCAAUAACUGUGCAGUUCCAACUUCCUUCCUGCGUUUUAUCAGCUGAUCUGAACUCGAAUUAUGGAACCGUGAACAUUCUUGCUAACAAGGUAAGAACAAACGAUUUUCAUCACUCAUACCCUUGGCAUGAUGACUAGUCUUGAAUUUCAAUUAUCAAUUGUGAUACGUACGUAGAUGAAAUGGAAGUUCAGGUCUUUUUCUCCUUAACAAUUAUUCUUCACUGUUGUGGUUGCAAUUUCUGCAGUUUUAAAGGAUGAGAAUGCGUGGUUCUUCUGGUCGGUUUUGGGUUUAAUAUAACGAACACUUCUUCUUCUUGUAGACUUGUUCAUGGACGAUUGGGAAGAUUCCUAAAGACAAAGCCCCUGCCAUGUCUGGGACAUUAGUGCUUGAAACAGGAUUAGAGCGCCUUCAUGUUUUUCCGACAUUUCAAGUGGGUUUUAGGAUCAUGGGCGUUGCUCUCUCCGGCUUGAAAAUAGAUAAACUGGAUUUGAAGAACCUAGCAAAACCACCGUAUAAGGGUUUUCGAGCUCUCACUCGAGCAGGGGAAUUUGAAGUCAGGUCAUAAUGCACCGAUAUGAAACCCAAGUUGUGAAGAUUGCUCGGAAUGAGAUUAAUUGUGUACUGCAAUGUGUCGUUUGUAUAUUUCUUUUUGUAACUUUGCAUCUCGGUCUUGAGAGUGCCUUCGAUUUUAGCUGGAAUGAAUUUGUAACGAAUUUUCUGUUUUACUGAAGGAUUGAAAGUUACAGAGUGUUUUACAGAACUAGACUGCAAUUGGCAUUUGAAGCAAAGGAAUAAGAACCUUUGGAUGACAAAAUUUUGUACAAUCUUACGGUACCUAAACAGCAAUCUUGUUCACUCUGAAAGACUCCAUAACCCGGCGAAGAUCACUUUCUUCCUCCACAAACACAUUUUCCGGCGUCUGUAAUCUCAACUCGUAUAACUGGUUGUUUUCGACUCCUAGAACCGAAAGGUACCGCCUGUCCCAUUCCAAACGAACUAAUCGAUCCUUCGGCAUGACAGCCAACUCGUUGUUGUUUGCAUAUGAUUUUAUGUUCACCUGGAAAAUCCAUGUCAAAACACACUUUCUAAUUGAUAAUGCAGAUUGUCUUAUCUAAAUAGUGCUUCUAAAAAUGCAUAGAACUGACCUCAAUUUGAUAGUAAAGCUUCCCAUCAUCAGCAACUCUCGAAGAAGUGGAAAGAAUUUUGGAUUCGCGCCUCACGCCGAGUCUGGUAGACAUGAACUCCGUCAGGUACUGCUUAAGCACUUUCUUUCCGGCUAGUGCAGGCGGGCCAAGAUCUUCGAUGCUCUUGUAGUUGGAAGAUGAUGGAGACGAAAACUCCACGGAGAUAUUUUCAUCAAGAAUGUAAGGGUCUCUGAAGAAUAUGUCAGCUCCGGCGCCUUUCACUUGGAUCCAGUUCUUAGGGUACUUGAACGAAUAUCCAUCAAAAGUAUCUAUGUAUUCUCUUAACCCUACAAGAGACUGCUGAGCAAAUGCAGCACUCCCAAAACCGCCUCCGGUGAAGAUGUAAGCUGACAAGAUUAAGGCCAUUGCAUUCCUCCUAGGAACUGCAAAAUCUUUAGUCUGAUUAUAUAUUAGAAAUAUAUGGUAAGAACACAACAUUGUGGAAGUCUGUAAAUUUCAUGUCAAUUUCACUAAUGUGUGACUCUCAGCAUACCUUUGAGGAAAAUUCAACACAAUCCCUAUCUGAAUCAUGUCGAAAGUGCUCGGAAACCGGUGUCUUCAGUCUGCUAAACAAACUCAUCUGCUAAAACAAACUCAAGGUCAAGUGUAUGAGAUAUGCAAAAGGAUCAAAUUUUGAAACAAUAUAGUAAAUACCUGACUACGUUCUUUGGAAAUUUCCUUUGCGUUUGAUGCUGCAACAUGUAAUGUUUCUUUUGGCUGUGAAACCUUUCUCCUAAACUGCAGUUGAUUAAUGAUGUAUCGAUGUUAAAAGCCAAAACCACAUGAAUUCGCAUCCAAGCUCAGAGAAGGAAACCAUCAAAGCUAUGUUUUAACUCGGGAGCAACAAGGCGGGCACACUCCUCCUGCCAACUGACCUUAUCUACGUCCACAAUUCUACUCUAUGUUGUAGGAAAAUCAACAAAAGCUAGUGCAGGAAUAAUGAAAGUCAGUUAAAUUGAGAGAUUCACAACAUUGUGAACCAUGGAAGAAAAAGUAGAACAAAAAUUGCAGAAGCAGAACCUGGAGCUGAGGAGCGUGGAGUCUGGUGCCAUUGAAGUGAGAGAAAGAAGAGGGGAGAGGAGAGAGAGAAGGCUGUCUCUGCUGCUGCACCACCACCAACCUUGCCAUGUUUCCCUAUCCACUCCUCCUGCUUUCCUUUUCUUGGUUUUUGUUGGUUAUAUCCACACAGCCUAUCCAUCAAUCAUUCAUAUCAUCUCAUCGAGAUUUUUCAGUAGACCGGAAACACGAUUUUGUACACCGAAUAUAAUACUACAAUUAUUAAAAACUAAAAAAAAAAAAAUAGUGCUACUUUUAUUAUUACAUUUGAGUAUUGAGCUGUAUUCUCAACACAGUAAAAAAUUUGUUCAUCUCAUCAACUUAUUUACUUGACUUCUACCAUUCAUGCAGAACUUUAAGGCCCAAUACCCAAGACAGGCCAACAAAGAAUGGACCUUAUCUCCAAGCCCAUUUGACUCAAAAUCAAGUUUGGGUAAGGGAAAAUCAUACAUGCCUCUAUUUAUUUUCGUCCAUUGAUUUUUUUUUUGUUUUAUUUAAUUUGAACGGGAAAAAUAACAUGAGUGUGAAUAAGUAAAAAAAUAGCGUGUGAAUAUCAUUUCUAUUUGGUAAUCCUUGGUAGAAAUACACCAUUUAGAUUUUCUUUUCUUUGGUCAAUUUUCACCUGUUUGAAACUCGAGUUUGAAAAAACUUAUGCAUUUCCCAAAAUACACUUUCUUGAUUUUUAUGUAUUCACAAACAAAACACAAAAUUAUUUAAAAUGUCAAUAACAGUUAUUUGUUUUUUAACAUAUAUCGGCCGAAAAGAAGUAGGCAUGAUAUUGGUGGUGUACAGGAUUUGGGGUUGGUCAAAAGCAAAUUGACAUCUAUGAAGACAUUGAAAAUUAGUGGAUAACAAUAAUGGGACACGUCACCAACACUUAUCCCUCUUUAUGUCCAACGUUUCUAUACACUGCAAAAUUGUUAUGGUUCCAGAGCAUUGCAUCCACAAAUCAAUUCUGAAUAUAAGAGUCGGAUAAUUUAGAAAAGCAGUGCCCUGUUCACGCACUUAUUUUUUUAUUGUGACCGUCAUAUACCACUGAAGCUUAAGGGAAAAUCUUAUAAGACGACAAUAAGGUCGGCGAUGCUGUAUGACACAGAAUGUUGGGUGGUGAAGCAUCAACACGUACAUAAAAUGGGCGUAGCGGAGAUGAGGAUACUUCGUUGGAUGUGUAGGCACACGAGAAGUGAUAAGAUUAGGAAUGAGAAUAUCUGAGGUAAAGUAGGAGUAUUCAAAAUUAAAGGAAAUAUGAGAGAAAAUCGGUUACAGUGGUUUGGACAUGUGCAAAGAAGGCCUACCGACGCUCCGGUUAGAAUAUGCGACUACGAGACAGAGAUUCAGGGUCGACGGGGUAGAGGAAGACCUAGGAAAACUUUGGAAGAGACUCUAAGAAAAGACUUAGAGUACUUGGAUCUAACGGAGGACAUGACACAGAACCGAGCGCAAUGACGUUCUAGGAUUCCUAUAGCCGACCCCAUUUAGUGGGAAAAUGCUUUGUUGUUGUUUUUACUUUUUACGCAUUUGCUUUAAUUUUCGGGCAUCGAAUUAAAUGAAAUGAAGAAAAUUAUAAAACAAAAAUUAACAAAGCAUUUGUGAAAAAUAAAAAUAGAUGUGUGAGUACCCUACUAAUUACAAAAAAAUUAACUAAUCAAUUCAAAUUAGCUACCUAAUCACCAACUUAAUUCGAGUUAUCGUGUAACAUGGAAAAGCCCGCGAUUCUUGACACGUUUUGCAGAAAAUAUCAACGUCUACGAUUCUUCAUAUUCUAAUUUUCCAUUGCUGCACUUUCUAUUAUGAAAGUUAACUACAAAUUUAUUUGACUUGUUUUUAAAAUGAUUAAAAAUACUUUUUGACAAUUUAAAACGUUUAUAUUCAUUUCGAACAGUAAGUUUAAAGCUUUUUUAGUUACGAUAGUUCCUUAGAUUAUCAUAACUUCUCAUUUUGGUUCUUGAGAUUUAAAAUUGAUAAAAGUGAUUUCUCUCUUUUAAAUUAAAAAAAUCACAAGUUCAAAGUGAGGGGUAUUUAGAGCAUAUUUCUCAUGCAAUGACCAAAUAAUUGAGGGUGGACAAUCUAAGGAUCACUUCUAUUGAUUUUUGAAAUUUUUAUACUAAAGUGAAGAGUUAUAUCAAUCUCGCAGACUAUUUUAAAUAAAAAACCUAAAUUUAAAAUGCUUCCUAUAAAAAACAAUCUCAAACGAGAUGUGCAUAAACUUAUGAAUCUACCCCCUUUUUUUUCUCUUACAUAUCUACUUAAAAAUCAUCUUAGCAUAAAUGCAAACAAUAGAUUCAAAUACCAACAGAGAAUCGUUUUAUUAAUCAAAUUGGUCUAAUUCACAUAUGUAUUUUAGACAUUUUUUUAUUUUUUAUUUUGUCUUAACCUUCCUUUCUGGGUAAUUUAGUAUCUUAAAAUUCAUGUGACUUUACUGUUUUGCAAUUAAUUAUAAAAAAUCUUAAGAGUGCUUAAGUAAUUAAAAGACCCAAUUAAGAAUAAAAUCUCCCAAUUUUCUAUUGACGAGCGAAUAAUCUCCCAAUUUUCUCCGCCGUCUUCAAGGCGGCACCGUUCGUGUAUAAAAAGCUAUCUUCCCUAUUUACUUUUCUGAACCAAUAACCAUUUCAGACACCAUUUUCUUCUUCUCCAAUCUCUCUAUCUCCUCCGCCGAUGAACGCGUUCUCUCUCUGUAAGUUUGACGAGAAUCCCAACUCCGUAAUCUGCACCUCAAUCUUCAAAGGAUCAGGAUAGCUGUAUAUCUGUAUAUGCAUAUUGAUGUAGUUCAAAUUUUGUAUUUUGUAUCGUUUGAAGAUUUGAUUUUGCUGAGAAAUUAUCCUGCUUAAAAUCUUUGAUAUGAAUUCCCUGAGUCUUCUUUGUCACGCAACAAUGAAACCCACCUGUAGAAUCCUCAAUAGAUGUCGAAACUCGGCGUUUUUUGGGUUCCCACGGCCUGCAACAUGGCUGCAUGGUUUGACGAAGACUGGAAAUUCGUCCAGUUUUUGUGUCAAUUUUGAGCAAAACUGCCAAUAUCACGCCAACCCUUUUCGUAUUUCGGGGUCUGGAGGCGUUUUCGAUGAUGCCCGAAAAGCCUCUCAGGUUCCCAGUUGGGGUCUUGGCCAAUCUGGGAUAAUAUCUAGGUCUUAUAGUGCUGGCAUUGGCACAGCUAGUAGGGGUGUUUCUGUGAUUGCUAGUUUGGCAUCCAGGUUUCGGAACCUUUCAACGUCAAUUGAGACCCGUGUGAAUGAUAACAAUUUCGAGAAGAUAUAUGUUCAGGGUGGUAUAAAUGUGAAGCCUUUGGUGGAGAGGAUUGAUAAGGAUGAGAACAUUGUGGGAGGGGAAGAAUCGAGGAUAGAAGUUGGUGAUGGAAAGAAAUCUGAAAGCUUGAAUGAAGCUACGGUUGUGACUUCGGAGAGAGAGUAUUCGGAUAUUGAGAAGGAGGCGUGGAGGCUAUUGAGGGAUUCGGUUGUGACAUAUUGUGGGAACCCUGUGGGGACUGUGGCUGCAAAUGAUCCCGGUGACAAGCAACUGCUGAAUUAUGAUCAGGUCUUUAUCCGUGAUUUUGUUCCAUCGGCACUUGCUUUCUUGCUUAAGGGAGAAGGGGAGAUUGUGAGGAACUUCCUCCUCCAUACAUUGCAAUUGCAGGUAAUGGUUUGCACCACUUAUCUUGGUUCCUUUCUUUUCGAGCAUUAAUUGUGCCAGCUUUUUGGUUUUUAAUACAUGAUAUCAUGAAUGGAAAGUUUCAAACCUCACUUAUAUAUAGCUUAUCAAUUAACUAGUUUUCAAAUAAUCAAAAUUUCCUUUUGAGGUCGUUUAAACCUUGCUGAUUUGGAGUUCCCGACUUGACACGAUUCCUUUUACUUUCUUCCAAAAUGAAGAUUCCAUUGGUUUUGACAGACCUUGACUAAGUUUUCAUGUCGACCCUGGUUUUGUGCGAUGUACCUUGAAUUAAUGAAGGUUUCUGGAAUUCCUGAUGGUAUGUUUCUAAUAUUGUAGAGUUGGGAGAAAACUGUGGAUUGCUAUAGCCCAGGACAGGGAUUGAUGCCUGCAAGUUUUAAAGUUAGAACUGUACCUCUCGAUGGAAAUAAGACUGAAGAAGUUUUAGAUCCAGAUUUUGGUGAAUCAGCUAUUGGACGUGUUGCACCUGUAGAUUCUGGUAAGUACAUUAUAACUACAUUAAUUCUACCAAUAACAAAUGUGAUUCUUUAUUGGAUGGUGCACACGGUCUGCUGUUGUUGCCAUCCAGGUGUUAUUGGCUGCUGAUCCUGUGCAUUUCAUAACUCUUCUUAAAAGCAAUUUUUUUUCAAAUGACCUUCCAAAGUUAUGGCAUCUAAUGGGUAAUGGUUUGUUGAUUGUGUAACUUCUCUGACAGGAUUAUGGUGGAUUAUUCUGUUGAGGGCUUACGGAAAGAUAACUGGUGACUAUGGAUUACAGGAGAGGGUGGAUGUUCAAACAGGCUUGAAAAUGAUUCUGAACUUGUGCUUAACUGAUGGGUUUGAUAUGUUUCCAUCUCUUUUAGUCACUGAUGGUUCCUGCAUGAUAGACCGGCGGAUGGGUAUCCAUGGUCAUCCCCUUGAGAUCCAAGUGAGUUACAAGGCUACUUUGAAUAUUUCUUAAGGAUGCAUUCAUCACUUUAUGUUCUUUCUGUAUUCUGCAAAGUAAGAGGCUACUUUGCUUGGUUUUAUUACUGUAAGUGUAACCUUCUUGAACAUGAAUUCUGAAAAUUGUUAAAACUAGACUUUUUAAGAAUACUGGGCUGUGUCCUGCCCGUGCCCUUUUGUAUGAUAUUACACCAGUUUUAUGGUUAUUUUUAUUCUUAUUUUAGCCUUGUAUUACGAAUUUUAACUCUCUGUAAUAAAGUUUGUUUAUGGCACCCAGCGUUUGGCUAAUUUCAUUAUGCUGAAUGAUUCUUCAGGCCUUAUUUUACUCGGCUCUUCGAUGCUCCCGUGAGAUGCUUGCUGUAAAUGAUGGAUCCAAGAAUUUGGUAAGGGCCAUCAACAACAGACUCAGCGCUUUGUCAUUCCACAUCAGAGAAUACUAUUGGGUGGAUAUGAAAAAGAUGAAUGAGAUAUAUCGAUAUAAGACAGAAGAGUACUCUACGGAGGCUACCAACAAGUUCAAUAUCUACCCUGAUCAAAUUCCUCUAUGGUUAAUGGACUGGAUUCCAGAAGAAGGCGGGUAUUUUAUUGGCAAUCUACAACCAGCCCACAUGGACUUUAGGUUUUUCACUCUUGGAAAUCUUUGGUCCAUUGUUUCAUCAUUGGGUACUCCAAAGCAAAAUGAUGCUGUAUUGAAUUUGAUUGAAGCCAAAUGGGAUGAUCUUGUGGGCCAUAUGCCACUUAAGAUAUCCUACCCUGCCUUGGAGUUUGAAGAAUGGCGUAUAAUCACUGGCAGCGACCCAAAGAAUACGUGAGUUAGCUGCCUGUUUAUAUUUGCUAGUUGUCUUGUUCUAGCAUCUAAUUUGUUCAUGAUCAGUUUAUCACUGAAAUAUGUUUGUCUUGACUCCUACAGCCCAUGGUCAUAUCAUAAUGGCGGAUCCUGGCCGACGCUCCUGUGGCAGGUAACCUUUGCUUCAAUAACACUAUAAAUAUUUUGUGUAAUGCUCAAGAAUAAUGACUUUUUUAUGAAGUUAGAUGUCAUGAUACUAUCAUCGGCCUCCUUUGUUAUUGGGUCGGAAGCUGUUACAGUUUACGUUGAGUUUUUUUGUUCUUGGUUUUCUGUCUAAAAUGCUUUUUGUAUCCUAUUUCAGUUCACAUUGGCAUGCAUCAAGAUGGGCAGAAUCGAACUAGCUCAGAAAGCAGCUGCUUUGGCUGAGAAGAGGCUUCGUUCUGACCGCUGGCCCGAAUACUAUGAUACAAGGACAGGGAAGUUUAUUGGAAAGCAAGCGCGGCUUUACCAAACAUGGACCAUUGCUGGGUUCCUUACAACUAAAAUGCUGUUGGAGAAUCCAGAGAAGGCGGCCUUGCUAUUCUGGGACGAGGACUACGAACUUCUUGAGAUCUGUGUUUGUGCACUUAGCAAGAGUGGCCGGAAAAAAUGCUCCAGAGGCGCCGCUAAGUCUCAGAUUCUUGUAUAACGAGUCCCAUUCUUUCAAGGGCAGAAAGUUUGGCCUUUGUACUGUACAGCGACACGUUUAGAAUAGCGUACGAAGAAGUUGGAUAGCGCAGAGUACUCCGAUUCAAAAUAUAGCAUGAAGGAUGUAUUUUUUUCAUGCAUCUGAUACUUAUUAUUUGUUUGGUCGUCCGAUUAAUCGGUCUAAGUUGAUCGGAAUACACAAUUACGGUGGGAAAUAUGUACUUUGUAACAAUUACCACAUGUCUACUUGUAUAACAGUUACAUGACUCUAUCUUAUACAUUACCUUUUGGUUAUUGUUUAUUGAUACUUUUACCUGAGUUAUUUUAUUUAUUUAUUUUUUUCGUAUUUUUUAUACAAGCGAUAUUAAGGCAUGGAGAAUUGAGCUUCAGUCUAAGAUUUGUUUGAGUCACGUUAAACUUCAAAUAUUUAUAGUUUUAAGCCACUGUGGUUCGGUUGUGGUUUGGAACUAGGCGUGUUGAUUGUUAUGAAUUAAGGUUCGAAUGAAAGGGCUCUCCUCUCUCCCUCGGUCUCCCUCCUCCCUCACACACACACAGGCGCAGAUUUGUACAACAAACUAUACAGUCUCCUAAUAUUUAUAGUUUUGUUCGUCAAAACAAGUCUUAACCCCACAAAAGCGUCUUCCCCCAAUCUAAACAAGCAGAGCUUACGAACCACGGCGAAGGCGGUGCAUCUCCUGCAGUCUCAUAUAGUCCUUAAUGGACAAGGUCGAAGCAUGCCCCCUCCCGUCAUCCAGCACUCGACGCCCGACUGUUGCUUCGAUCCUUUGUUUCCUCUCCAUGUAUGCAAUCCCAGCGCCCUGAGGUCCACCGUACUUCUGCAGUGGAGCCAACGAAAAUGGCAGCUCGAAGUUGUGCAGCAUAUUUGUUUCUGUCCCUUUGUCCACAGGAGCACUUGUAUCAACCAACUUCCCUGCACCUGCUGCUGCUUCCAAUGCUGCCUCUGUUGCUUGCAUACCAAGCUGUCCCGCUACAUUUGCCUUUUCCUUGUUGCUGCCCUUACCAGUAGUUCCAUCUGUUGCUUCAGCAGCUUCAUCGCCUCGUUCAGCAGCAGCUCCAUCGCCUCCUCCAGGCCUUGCAACAUAAUAAUUUCUCGAUUGAGUCCAUCUUCUCGAGAACGGAUCAUAACCAGCCUCCCCUGAUUUCAGAUUCAUAUUCACUGGUUUCAACCCUGAAGCAUUUUUAAAAUUCUCGACCCUGUUCUUCCUGUUCAUUUCAGCUAAUCGAAUAGCUUUGCUAUCUUUCCCCUGAGUUUGCCUGGAUGCUUCUAAUUCCUGGAGCCUUGUCUUGAUCCUCUUAGCUUCUUCCUCGUCGCCUUUACUUUCUGCAACAUCCAACUGCCUCCUCAAUCGUUCCUUCUCAACUGCAAUGUUAACGGGCCUUGCUGAGGCCUUUUUCUCCUGCAACAUUUGCUUCACAGUAGUUGCCGAGUAAAUAAAUGAAUUUGAUUUCAGAAGAGCCUCCUUCUUUUCUAAUACCUCCUGUUUACUUGGCAUUUGGCCAGCGGUACGCCGCACUUCCUUAAACCACUGUUCAAACUCGUUCUCCUGCGGAGGAGAAUCUGAGACAUUAGCCAUCGGCCAUUUGGAAGCAGAACUUUCGCUGCCAAAAACACAAUUCAAAUAUUUAUGUGUGACUUUAUCCUCUAGCUUAUACUCCCGGCCAGGAUUUGUGGCAUCCACAUUCUGAACCAUGCAGAGCCUGUAGACAGAACCUUCUGAUGAUCUGCCACAUCCAACCCUAACAAAGCAGCCCCCGAUUAACUCCUCAAAAAAUGGUUCCAUGACCCAUUUUCCAAGUUUUGACCUUGGUAUGGUAAUAUCCCUUAUGUCCUGAAAUGUGGGUGCCUCUGAACGUUCCUCAUCGCUGUCAAAGAAUUCAUCAUCCGCUUCCUCUUCAGUAGGCAACCUGUCCAGAGUCUCGAUUUGACUGGAGCAACUCAUAUUACGCUUGCUUGGUGAUAUAUCCUGGCUACCUGCACCUCCUUUUGACGCGUCCCUCAACUUAUGGUGAUCCUUUGAGUCUUGUUGCUUCAGACGUUUUGCUCGUAAUUUAUUCAAUGCAUCAUCCAUAGUGGCUGACUUGUCAGUAGCCCUGGCUGAUGAGCGUACACCGCGAGAGAAUGGAAGAGGAUCCUCUUUCCUUGAUUGUGUAGAUAUAGCAUUGCCUCUUUUUGAUCUCAACUUUUCCAUGAAAUCCUUGCCGCCUUUCUUCUCUGCUCUACUUGUCAAAAUCAUCUCUCUUUCAAGUUCACUCAUUGCUGCAAGCCGUUUCCUGUCAGCAUCAUUCUUGUAAAGAUCGGGGCCAAUAUCAGAUUCAUCACUACUUUCACCCUCAUGAUCAGAACCAUCAUCACUAGAAUCAUGUUCUUUGUCACUGCCCCUUUCAGUAGGUUCAAACCUCUUCUUCAGAGGUACUUGAGAGGGCUUCUUGCUUCCAUGAUCAUCAUCUUCAUCCAUGGAGUUACUUCCAUCAUCAGAAUAGGAACCUCCAUGUUGCUUUCUAGAAGAUGGAAGCCGGUACUGCUUUUUCCCAGCUGAACUAGUUCUUCCUGCUGCCUCAAGGAGGUCACUUUCCAAUUCUAAGUCUGACAUCCCCGUUGUCGGUGUCUCUGCUACAGAUGUCUCUCCUCAAUUGGUUGUAAGAGCGACUAGCUCGGCCACAAGAAGAAAGAUUAGCAUAUACUUGGGAGAUGUUUCACUAAUAUAACAUAAGAACAUGAAAACAAACUGCCAAAUAAGAAUUGUAUUCGAGUUACAAUUGAUGAUGGUAAUCUAUGCCCGUCUAGGAAAACCAACUUAUCGCAGUAUUAGAGUGGCACGCAGAAUCUUUCUCAAAGUCUAUGAUAGCAAUGCAAGUGAAGUUGACAUCACACUGAAAGAAGAUAUUCAGUAAAAGUAUCGUGCACAUAAAUACGAAUCCUUGAUUCUUUCAUUUAAGAAAUGGUCAUAACAAUGCCGUUACACAAACAAUUUAAAACAUCGUAGCAAUUCCAUAAUUUGCACUUUAAGGAUAGAUCUUACCAGUUUAAGCAUUAAUCAAAAACUCAUACGCACACUGUAUAUACGUGCACAAGCGCGUGCACACGCACCAUAAGAAAGAGAGGUAGAAAGCAGGUUAACAAUGCAACCGUUAUCUCACUACGUGGUUAAUCAGAACAAAAAUCUUUAUGAGACUAACCUAGACUUUCUCAGAAAAGAGCAAUACGCAGAUUAUCAAAUACAUUCUACAUGCUCUUUUCUCUCAUAAUUUAUUAACAAAAUCGUCCCACAAAUCCCACCUCAUUCAACUGAUAAGGAAAGUGGCAAACAUGACAAACAGUUACUAGUUUCUACUUCGAGAUUAAUUCACUUUCCACAUAAUUUACUCUCUUCGAGGAUUCCAAAUCCGAAUGGCCCUUCAAUAUAUACUAAAGUCAAGGUUUUCAGACAUGCUAAUCAAAAUGCCACCUAAGUUGCUAGCAAAAACAGUUUUCUCAGUUCGCCUAACGAAUAUUACAAAGACAACAUCAGAAGGAGAAAACAAAAUCAACAUCGAUAAUUGCAUGGUUGUAAAAACAAAUUGCAAAAAUAAAAAUAAAAAUCUUUUCUCGGACAAGAAAUCGGGGAAAUUACAAAGGUAGCCAACUUUGAAACUUGUUGAACACUUUUAGCCAACUUAUGCAUUCAUGCUCUUCUCUCAUAAGUUAUUAAACAAUCGUCCACGAAUUCUACCUCAUUCAACUGAUAAGGAAAUAGACAAACAAGACUUUCCAAAUGCUUACAGAAGUCAAGACUACCCAAAGUAUAAUCACAAUUCCAUCUAAAUUUCUAGCACUAACAGUUUCCGAAAUCCACCUACUAACAUUACAGAGAGAAAUUUAGCCACCUUCUUUCGGAUUUUAGAACUUUAACCACUCGAAGGGGUUUCGUGCACUCGAGGGCACCCGAUCAAAUAGUGUUUAUGGCAGUUCUCAGUGCUUGCAGUCACGCUGGCCUCGUUAACGAAGGCUUGAGAUAUUUCAAAUCAAUGAUAAGUGAUUACAAAGUUACUCCAGAUCAGGACAUUUAUGGGUGUGUGGUGGAUUUGCUAGGUCGUGGCGGAAGAGUUGAGGAGGCUUAUGAACUAAUUGAGAGUAUGCCAUUUAAGCCGGAUGAGUCUGUUUGGGGAGCAUUUCUCGGAGCUUGUAAAGCACACGAGCUUCCACAUUUGCGAAAAGUGGCUGCUCAGAAGUUAUUAGAGUUGACACCAAAUAUGGUUGGCACGUAUGUGAUGCUGUCAAAUAUUUAUGCAGCUGAAGGCGAAUGGGGGGAAUUCGCAAAUACGAGGAAGAUGAUGAGAGGUAUGGGGAAUAAGAAAGAGGCAGGACAGAGUUGGAUUGAGGUAAGAAACCGGGUUUAUAGUUUUGUUGUGGGAGAUAAGGUGGGUUCUCAUAUAAACUCGGUGUAUGGAGUUUUGGAAGUUCUGAUUUCGCAUUUGAAAGCGGCAGAGCACAUAAAUGAUUUAGAUUGCUCUAUACAUGACCUAGAUGAUGGAACUUGAACAGAAGCUGAAGUCAAGGAGUUGAAACAUGUUUCCAACAAAAACAGAAGGAUAUUAUUUGAAUGUCCAAAGAUUCUAGUCAACGAAUAUGAUACUGGACAGCCUAGGGAGGACCGGGAAGGACGCAAACCUGGUGUACAAAUUAUUGUGCCCAGAGUAAACGCUGGGUAGCCAAGUGUGGAGCGAAUAGCUGCUGAAAGCCUAAAAGCACAAAGUCAGUUCAAGACCUUUCUUGCAAGGGGGAGACUAGCUUUGCUUAUUUAAAGCCAAUAGAAGCAAUAGGAAUUGUUAAGAAAAGGAAGAAUUCAUUGUUCAAUAAAGUUGAUAGCUUUGUGUAAGUGGAGAUGUAAAAUAUGCAAUUUCUGGUACCAAUUAGUACUUCGGCUUCCAUCUGAACAAAAAGAAUGGAGAGUUCUUCAUUGAGCUAUGGCAAACCUGCAAUGUUAUAAGAGCAGAACGAACAUUAGCAGCAAUAAAUCUGAAAGAAUAAAAAAACAACUUUUUAACGUCUACUGUAAAGAAUUGCUUCGUUAUCUCACUGCAGUACAAGGUCUCUUAAAAGCAACGCUCACAAGUUUCUAAAGGUAAACGUUGCUCAUCAUUACAUUGAUUUGUUUGCAAUCUCUAGCAUGUUGCAGGUAAAAUCAAGUCAAAGUUUUGCUGAUAAAUGUUAUAUACCAGUUCAGCUGCAUUUUCCACUUGUAUUGUAGCCGUGAGUAACUUUGCCUUUUGGUGAUACGCCCAAUCAUUUCAUUUGUGAUGUGUUUUUCAAACACCCAGUGUUCAUCCUCUUGUCCAACAUCAUAUGCGCGUGCACUGCUGCCAUCCUUCACCUCUUGAAGGCUUGGAGCUAGUAUCUCCAUUGAUUCUCUUUGCCGAUGAGCUAUAGUGUGUUGUCUCCGCACUUAGCUUGAAUGAAAAAGCAGAAUGUUGGGUGUCACCCCAUGUCUUUGCAGUUCUAGGUAGAAUGGAGAAGUUCUUCUAACCAACUUCGGUCUGUCAUACAUUCAGCUACCAGAAAUCAUUGCAAGAGCAAGAUCCCUGCUUAAAGUGGUGAAAGAGGUGCCGAUCCCUCACCACUAUAUCACGAUCAAAAGCUUUUGAGAUCAACUUUGCUGCCAUGUGACAAUCAUUACAUAUUCGCAAAUUCUUCAUUAUUCGUAUAGGUGAUGGUGGACUGAUAGCGAUAAGACCAAAGGCAAUUGCAAGUUUCUCACUAUGCCUGGACAGAGCGGUUUCCUUCUCUUCUUCAUCAAUGUCAAAGGAAACCUCAUUCGUAUCUGGUGCGUAACCUUCCUUCUUCAAUCUCUUAGCUAUUUCAUCCAACAUAGCGUCAAUCUCUUUUAUUCGAGGGUGUUUCUUAUCUCCUGCUAGAAAUUCAUGAACUACUCCGUCUGCUUCAAUCAUGCUACAACCCGGGGUCUUUACCACCCCAUGUUGCAUCAUUGUUCCCCUAAUCUCAUGAACAUCAUCCCAGUUACCUUUUGAAGCACAUAUAUUGGACAACAAUACGUGGAACCCGUCAUGGUCAGGCUCAAGCUCAAUGAGCUUUCUUCCUAUCCUCUCGCCCCUAUCAUGGUCUCCGUGUUUCUUACAUGCCCCUAGUAAGGCACCCCAAGUAGCAACAUCCGGCAUCAUAGGCAUACUCUCAAUGAGUUCCUCUGCCUCCUUGAGCAUACCCGCACGUCCCAAAAGAUCAACCAUGCAUCCGUAAUGCUUAACAUUGCGUUCUAUCUUGUGUUCUUGGACCAUGGAAUCAAAAUGUCGACGCCCCUCAUUUACUAACCCCAUGUGUCGACAAGCUCCAAGAACUCCUAUAAAGGUUAUCUCAUCAUCUCUGAAAAUGUUUCAAGUGACUUCUCCACCAAGCCAUUCAUCGCCAACCCAAGAAUAAGAGCAUUCCAAGAAGAAACUCCCUUUUCUGAAGUCCCCUCAAAAACCUCCAAAGCGUUUUCCACACACCCACAUUUCAUGUACAUGUUUAUAAGGGUAGUGCCCAAAAAGACAUUAAUCUUGAGACCAUUUUUCCUUAUAUAAGCAUGAAUCCACUGGCCUAAGUCAAGGGCGGCCAAUUGAGUGCAAGCUGAUACAACACUCACCAAAGUGGUCUCAUCGGGCCUGAUUCCAAGAAGCUGCAUCUCCUGAAACAAUGCCAAAGUUUCUGAGAACCGGUCUUGUUGAGCAUAACCUGAUAUCAUUGCACUCCACGACACGAUAUCCUUCUCGGGCAUGGAAUCAAAUAAAGUCCUAGCGUUUUCAACUAAACCACAUUUCAAGUAGCCUGAUAUCAUUGAGUUCCAUGAUAUCUGAUCCAAGUUGUAGGCUGCAUUGAACAGUUUUUGCGCGGCCAUUAUUUCCCCACAAUUCGAAUACAUGUGAAUAAACGCAUUUUGAAGAUUGACAUAACUUUCAGUUCCAAUUUUCACUACUAAUCCAUGGAUCAAUUUCCCUGUCUGGACAGCUAACAAGUUUGCACAUGCCGAAAGAACAGUGACAAGCACAACCUCAUCCACCAUAACUCCAUUGGCAACCAUUUCCAGAAACUUAGCCAAAGCCUCCUCAUACAUCUCAUUCUGCUCAUGACAAGAAAUCAACGCGCUCCAUGAAACCAUAUCUUUCUCGGGCAUUUCCUCAAACAACCGGCAAGCCUCAUUCACGCAACCUGUCCUGCCAAACAACACGAUCAUAGAAUUCGAAGCAAUGGUGUUCCUCUCCGGCAUCUGAUCAUAUACAAACUUCGCCUUCUCCACAUCCCCUGCCCUCACAUACCCCGCCAGAAUCGAAUUCCAAGCCACCGAAUUCAACACAGGAAUUUCAUCAAACAACUUGCGUGCGUCCCCCAUGUUCUCACAAACAGCAUACAUAUUGAUCAACGUGUUCUGAACAUAAACAUCCGAAUCAAAACCGGUCUUGAAAACAUGAUCAUGUAUCUGUUUUCCUUCAAAACCCGAAACCCGAAUAGCGCAGGCUUGCACUAAAAGCGGGUAAGUGUAAUGGUCAGGACCGGCAUUCUUCUCCAGCAUCAGUUUAUAAAGCUUCAAAGCCUUUUGAGGACGGUUUCUCUGUACGUAAGCUCUCAUCAUGGUGUUCCAAAUAAACCCAUUUGCGUCGUCGAUUCGAUCGAAGAUUUUCAGGGAGAAAUCGACGUGGACGAAGUGUGAGUCGGUGCAGAACUUGAGGAUUCUGCUUGCGGCAUAUGUGUCAUUGAUGAAGCCGGUAAGGAUCAUCUGAGAGAGGAUUGGAUUGAAUUGCUUGAGAUUUCGGCAUUUCGGCAAAUGGGUUUCCAAGAUCGAGAGAUUUAUGCUUGGUUUCGACAUGGGUUUGGGAUUCAAAGUCGAUUUCGCGGCUAAAGUUAGCGGCUUUAAUUUGUAUAAAUUCAUAAGGGGAAGAAAAAAGCUUGAAGAAAGACCCUAGUGUGACAGUUCUUGGUAAUACUUUCCGUCUCCUUUUCUUCAAGCCCGCCAAUCUUCAUCCAUUUAAAUAUUGACACGUCCAGUUUAGUAAUCAAACUUGAUUCAAUGGUUGCGAACUAGUAAAGGACUUAUAUGAAAUCAAUAUUAUUUCUACUUAAUCAAACUUGAUUCAAUUCCGAUCCCAUUCCAAUCCGGGCAAACUAGUAAGACUCAUACGAAAUCAGCGUUAUUUUAUUUUUACUAUAAAAUAUGGCACAUGUACACCGUUAUGAUAGGUUCUGUGCUCAUAUCACACAACUUAGGGAACAAAUCUGAUAUCACAUUUUAUAAACAAUUUUUGGCACACAUUUUUGUGAGGCUUUAUUUAGUAAUGUAUUUUAAUGAUCUGAAUCGUUUAUCCUUUAAAUAUUCCUUCAAAAAACUAAAAUUCACUCAAAUUUGAAGUUAGAUGAUUGUUGGAUUAACGGUUUGAGGUUUUUUUGUAUAAGCGUAAUCAUUCAUUUUCAUUAUUACAAAUAAAUAUUUUAAUGAUUUUGAAUAUGUGUAGUUAAAAUACAUUACGAAAUAAGCCCUGAUUUGGUACUGAGGUUAUUCUGAAAAAAAUGGUUAUCAAAAAAACUGAGAGCUUUUUUAUGUUUGGUAAACAUUCAGCUUCAGCUUUUUUCACAAUUUUGGAUGAAAAAAAAACCCAAAACACAAAGCUGCAAAACCUAGCUUUGAAAAACCAGUUUUUUUUCACAUUUAUUUUACAUAAAAGCUUAUCAAACACUAUAAUGCUGCUUUUUGUUUUCAAAAACACUUUUACAAAAAAAUUUACCAAAAACUCUACUGCUUUAUUUCACAGCACAACAAAAGCAGUUUUUUUCAAAGCAAAACAAUAUCAAACCAGCCCUAAAUUUAACAAAAAAAAAAUGUAUGUCAAAAAUUAUUUAAAAAUAAUAAUUGGUGUCAUUAUCUAGGAAGCAGAAAGUGAAAAGGCCACAGAAAAAAGCUAAAAGUGAAAGGCCAACUAAACAGUGAACUUUUUCCGACUCUGAAAUUAAGCAUCAACCCCAAGAACCCCAGAAUGCCCCCGAAACGCAGAAACAAACCCGACCCGCAUUUCGACACCCGAUCCCCCGGCAAGAAACGGGCAGCUCCUCUGGAAGAAAAUGGAGGAGAGGUAAUAAAAUCCUUUAAUUUCUGAUUACUUGGUCUUUAAUUUCUGAUUACUUGGUUUUUUCAUUGUUUUUUGUCAGUAGAAUUUUUUUCUAGGCUAUGCUGCAUGCUGGUAUCAUCUGUUUGGUUUGAAAGAAAAUAGCCCAAAGAAUGUAUUUUUCUUUCAUUUUGUUGGAAAUUGACUGAGGAGUGAGGACUCAAACUUUUUUCCCUUUCAAUAUAUCUGGAUUUUGUAUUUUUAUUUUUUACACUUAUAUCUUGAAGUUUGAGCAUAUAUGAUAUUCAGUUUUUUUAACGAUCAAUUGUAAAAGGUGGAAACUUUAUGCAGAAUGUAUGUUUAUAUAGCUAGAAAUAAGUGGGAAUUCCUGUUCUUGAGCCCUAAUUUGAUCAAAUGUAAUUUGGGUAAAAGUUUGCAAGGGAUUUCUUGAUUGGGAAUGUGGGAUCACUUACAUAAAUACAGUGAUUGAAAAUCAGUAGAGCAGGACCCGAGUUUGAAUCAUUCUCUGUGGAUUAGAGUAGUUUAAAAUAUUGCCUUGUCAAAAAGAAAAAUAAUUGAGGUUCGAUUAUUUGCUCCAUUAAACUCGAGCACUUGAUUAUUGUCUUGAUAUUUGGAUGAUUAUGAUUCAAAAGAGAAUAGAAAAUGAUAAAUUUGCAGUCUUUCGAGUUUUUACCUUGCCAAAUUUGGUAUGUAAGACUUCAUUUGCAUUAAGUGUCAGAUUUUUCGGGGCACAUUGUUUUCUUUUUACUGUUGGAAUUUUUAUCACAUUUUUGUAUAGUUCACAUUUCACAAGCCCAUAUUUUCUAAAUUUCAGAAAGUGCCGAUUGUAACUCAAGAGAACUUUACCAAGGGAACACCGGUUGAGGUUUGCAGUGACGAAGAUGGUUUCCACGGUGCUUGGUUUGCUGCAACCAUAGUGGAAGCAGUGGGCAGUGACAAGUUCCUUAUCGAGUACCAGAGCCUGAGGACAGAAGAUGAUUCGGCAUUUCUGAGAGAAGAGAUUGAUACCCUGCACUUACGACCUAAUCCGCCAGAAAAUGCUGUUGAGCAUUUCAGUUUGCUUCAAGAGGUUGAUGCUUUGUACAAUGAUGGCUGGUGGGUGGGUAUGAUCUCAAAAGUUCUUAGCGGCUCAAGGUACAUAGUCUACUUCAGGAGCACUUAUGAAGAAAUUGAAUUUCAACAAUCUGAGUUGAGGCUUCAUCAGGACUGGAUUGGUGGCAAAUGGGUUAUGCCUUCGCGGGUAUGAACUUAUACCUAUCUAAUUUCAGCCAAUGCUUUUAUUUCUGAGAGAAACCGACCUACUUUUAUCACAGAGGAUGCUACUGUGGAGGUAUUCCAAGCCAAUCAGCACUGCCACCCGUUUUAACCUUCCUACAUGACAGUACGUGAUUGGCUUGAGAUACCGCCUUAGUAGCAUCACCAUUGCAUGGAAGAUCUACUCCUCAGUGAUAGGGUUGGGAAACUACCUCCGUGGCAUCCCAGGUGUAGGUAGUUUAUGUGAAUCAGUUCGAGAGUUAGGAAAAUGGUUGAGUUCUACUUCUGUAGCAUCUUCCAAAAACACUUGCCAACUUGCAAAAUAUAACAAAGUGAACGAAAAUUUGAAAAAAAAAAUGAGAAGGGACUUGUUCAAAGUUACCACACUACAUUUUUGGCUAAACAAACUGUGGUCCAGGUCUCAAGUUUUGAUCCAAGCCUGAAACCAAAACUUAAAAGCUAACUUCUAUAAGGGUGUAUGAAAGUUGGUUCAAACUUGCCCUAUCAUUCAAUGUUUCAAGCUAAGUGAUGCAUCACAUCCCUGUUUCCAUUACGUAUAGCAUAUGGAUCCGCAUUUAAGCUAAACUUGGAGCCCUAUGCCUAAAUGUCAAUAAAUGGAGAGGUGCUUUUAAAUAUGACCAGCUGAAUUUUUUUGUUCAUAUAUGAAUAAAGAUUUAAGAGAUGCAGCUCCACCUGCCAGCUGAAAACUACUCCAUCUUCUUGUGUGCGGUUUCAGCGCCAAAUGCUGAUGAUAGCAAUGGCUGACUAUGAGCACGGUCAAACAUUUCAUUCUUUCAAAGAUAUAUGUAUUUGAUUUGAGCUUUGACUAAUUGUUGACUGAUUGUGUGUUCUUGACAGGCUUUAAAGUUGUGAUUAGUAAUGACUAAUCACUGAUUACGGGUGAAAAACGAAUGAUUUCCUAAGACUACUUGGAGAAUCAGCUACGAAAUGAUAGAGGGAGUUCACCUUGACCGGUUAUAUAUGGUAGUGGAGGUUAAGUUUCUGUCUUAUGCCUAAACAUUAGUAUUAUCUAGUGAUGAAUUAGCCUAAAAAAUCACUUAAAACUUGGCCAGCUAAUCUAAAAAACCUUGAACUUGUAGCUGGAGAUGUAAUUCUUAUUUUUACCGGCUAUCGGAAUUUGGUAGACUGUAAUUUCCAUUUACUGGAUCAUUUGUUCUAGCUUUCUUUCUGCAUAUGAGAAGGGCUUGCUGUUGCCUCCUUGUCUUUCACUUUGUGGCAAGUGUUGACUGUUCAGUUGGUUAGAACUUGAAAACUUUUCUUUUAUUGUGGUUACAUGCGUACUUGCUGUCCGUCUUUGAAUUUAUUGAACUGCAAUGGUUUCUGCAAUUUGGUACCAAGCAUUGAAUGGGGUAACCGGCUAAAAGCAAACUUCUCAAAUCAAUACAUUUAGUCCUCAGUUUUCCGCACCAUCCUCAAGUGAUGUUGCUGUUCAUCAUUCUAUUUAUCACCGUUGGAUGACUUUGAACUUUAAGAUCUGUGGAGUGGAUACACAUAAAUUUCUAAAGUUAAAUCCAUCAAGUGGUACUAAAUAAGGUGAGUGAGCAUUACCGCUACUUGGGAGUGAUGAGCAAGAAUGCACCCAUGUUUUUUGACCAUAUUUGUAGAUCAAAUGAUAUGGUGGUUGAUAGUUGGAUACAUUCGUUAAUGAUUAAACAAGGAAUUCAACCAUAAAUUGUCGCAUCACGUGGUCUAUAAAAUAUAGUUCAAAUAGAUGAUCUGUUUAGUAGCGGAGGUUAGUCUUUUGAACAGGUAAUUAAACCAUUCAGUGCAAUUAGCUUACAUUUCUUAGAUGCAAAAUGUUUGUUAUUUUGUGCCGUUCUUUGGUCCAAAAUUCAAAAUUUCACUUUAAUGGUUGUUAAUCAUUAAUUUGAAUGUCACAGGAAAUUAAUACUAAUCAAUAAGCAAAUCAUCUUUCUUACUUAACAAGGCAAUGGGAUACCCCUCAUUCAGUUACUGCAAUUUAUUUCAAUUUAUUUUUUACCAAGAGAAUUGUUAUUAGCACUUUAAAAUUUUCAUUUUGCACUCCAAACUUUUUAUAAUUAUAAAGAAAAAUACACUUUGAGUAAUGUAGAAUAAGAUUUUUGAAGUGUAACAAUUUCCUUUCCCAAACAUUGCUUCCCUUUAAUAAAGAAAAACUAAUGAAAAUGGCUUGAAAACUUUGAGUUUUAAUGAUAAGGACAAAAUAAAGGGUAAAGUGAAUAGUACCAGGAUUGAUUUUUUAGUGUAAAAAUAUGAUGUUUCGUUAAAGUGAACAGUACCGGAUGCUUUUCGUUAAAGUUCCCAUUUAAUAAUGCUCUGUUCAAAUAAGAAAUGCGAAAACAGAGUAAUUUUAUUUAUUUAUUGCCCGGAGAUGGAGCAAUUUAAAACAAACAUUCUUAGACCAAAUUAUCAAAGAGACGUUGCAUUUGUUGUCUUCUUCCACCGCUGCAGAUCAAUUUGGAUAAAGCUCUUUCAAAACCACCUAACGUAACGCCUUAAGGGCAAUACCCACACGAAAAAACAAGCACGUGAUCCAGUCAGUUGAUUAAGAUAAUAUAUUAAUCUAGUUAGUUGAUUACGACCAUAAGUUACUCAGUUGACUAAAACGUUGCUCUCUAAUUCAAAGCAUAAACUCCAUAAAUUAAAACAGUUUAAAAACAAAGUCCACUAAAACAGUAUAUCGUUGCUCACUAACUCAAAGCAUAAUCUCGAUAAAUUAGAACAGUUUAAGAUAUCGAAGGCCAUAAUCUAAACUUAAUAAACAAAGAAAUUGUUCAUAAAAAUAGAACUUUAAAUAUUAUUUGAUUAUACAGUACCACUAUUAAAAGGACUUUCACACCAACAAGAACAACAUAAGAACAACAGAAAGGCAAGAAGCCCUACAAAUCCCAAAAGACCCAAAGGCCCUUUACCUCAUCCCUCAAACCUCCACAACUCCCUUGACCUCCUCCUUCACCUCCUUCCCCUUCCCAUCCUUCUCACAAGCACUUUCCUCAACCUCAAAAGCACUUACAGGAAAAGUCCUAAACAACCCAGCAGGGGUCUUGAAGGUGAUCUUCCCAGUUGGAGGGUCAUCAACGUAAAUGUCACUGAGCUGCACCCACACCAAGAGCUCCUUGGUCUUCACCCCUGUCAGCUUCUUGAUCUUGCCCUUCUCAACAAUGGCUGUGACCUCAGGGGCAUAACUGACCAACUUCCCAAUUUUCUCAAACUUGUGGGUGUAGCUCUUCUUCUGUUUGAGCCACACAAAGCCAGUUUCUCGGAUAAUCCCACACUCCUCAAUGUCCUUGAGGGGCAAGAGGCCAUUGGGGAGGGAGAUUUCUGAGAGAAGCUGCUUUGCUUUUUGUUGGCAGAUUUCAUCUCCAUGGUAGAGCUCAUCUGCUUUGGACUUGAUCUCUGCUGUGAUGAGAGAGGACAUUUUGGUCUUUUUCUAAUUUUGUUGGGGAUUGGUCUAUAUUUUGUGAAGGUGGCGAGUAAGUUGAGAGUUGGGGUUGGGAUGUUUGAAGUGGAAAGUGUUGGGGUUUAUGUAGGUGGGGAGAUAGUACUUUGCCCUUGUAGUUUGUCUAAAUCACCAAAAUGCCAUUGGAGUUUUGCCCUUGUAUGUCCAAAAGAAUUGCAAGAUGUGCCAUUUGGGUUUUUUUUUUUUUAACAAACUAUAUUAUUUAUACAUUUUAGGUUUGAUUCCUAAGGUUUAGGGUUUAGGUUUGAUUCCUAGCGCUGGUGAAUCACACGAUGGUAAUCAAAUGGAGGCUAAAAUGUCUUUGUAAGUAUUUCCGGUGCCCGAAAGAGUGGACUGAUAUUGUAAAGCCACCGGUUGAUCUGUUUGAAAAAAAAUAUUUAUCAUCCUUACAUUCAUGCAAAUCAAACGUGAAAUCCAUCCAACCAAAUGAAUACAAAGGAUAACACUCUAAAAAUGUGAUCAUACACACACUCCUUGCUGUACAAAUUUCCCCACAUCCGCAAAAUAAUUAUCACUAAACCAAAAGCUAAUUGGUGAUUGAUUUGAGUUAAGCCCAUGCAACUUAAUCCAUAAACAUCUAACUUAAUCCAUAGUGGUGGAAAUGUGUUGUCAUUACAUGACGACGUGAGUUCGAAUCCCGUCGGUAGCUAAUUUAACAUCUAACUUGAAGAGUAGGGGCCUUUAGGAUCCAUCAUGCACACAUUUGGAAAUGGAUCCUCUUCAGAUCCCUUCCUCCUAAUCCACAAAAUUAGGGAAUCCGUUCUGUUAAAAUUUGAUUCAGGGAAUGAAGUUAUUAUAACUUUUAAAGUGAGCCCCUGUUUAUAACAAUUUGAUCAAAUUUUAACAACACAGAUUCUCUGAUUUUGUGGAUUAGGAGGAAUGGAUCCGGUCCAUUUCCCACACAUUUAUGGUGCAGUUGGGAGGAGUUAUGGUGAAAUUAAGGUUGGGAAGAGGGGGGUUGAGGUGUAGCCACUCAUAUAGCUCCACGUCUAUUGUAGUUGGGGAACGGUAACGAGAUGGGAGAAGAACCGGGAAACAAAAUCACGUCCGCUCACCUCACCUACACCCCUUUAAUUAUUCUUUUUUUUUUUUAAGAUUUUAGUACAUGCAACAAUAAAUAAUUCAAAUUGGGUCCCUUCUUUUACUUCAAUUUUGCUGCUACCUCCCAUCCAACCAACUCUUUAUUUGACAUCUAAAGAUUACUAUUUACAGAAAAAGACAAUGACAAAGAAAAAUGUAGUUCAGACGCUGGCCACUGAUCUAAAAGUUUCCGUCUAACGUUAGUUAGGUCUCGUUUAGUGUCGCUAGGUGACUGACUACUGUUAUGAUAAAUUUCUAUUUAAAAAAAUAAGAAAUGACGUAUAAAUAUGCUUAGAUGGUCACUUGGUUUGUCUAAAUCACAACUCUUAUUUAGACAAAAAAUAAAUUAUUUCUAUUUUGAUUUUAUUUUUUCAAUAAAUUGAGAAUUGUUAAAUAUUUGGAUGAACACUCAUUAUAUGUUUGUUCUUUAUGUUUUCAAUAUGCUCUAAUACUUUAAAAUUGGUCUCAUCGGAUAAAUAUUCAUUACGAUGAUAAAGUACACAGAAGAUAGUCCCAUGGUAAAAAAAAAAUUUGAAUUUAACCCUCGUGGUAUAGUCCUUUAGCAAAUUAAUCCAAAAAUGAUUUUUCUGUUAAAUGUCCGUUAAAUAUAGAAAUAAAAUGUACUUUAACGUGUGCACACCUUCUUCUUCCUACUAUAUUUUGCAUGGAUUUGGAUCGCAUCCGGAUCCAAAUUGUGGGAAUUAUAAGGAUCUUCACAUCUUAGCCAUUCAUCAUGCAUCGUGUAGUAAAAAAUUAUUUGACUUUUUUUAUUUAAAAUUAAACACAAAUAGUAUCUGAUGAAAACUGAUCACACAAUAUAUGAUGAACGGCUAGAAUGUGAGGAUCUUUAAGAUCCUCACAAACAAGGUUCUAAAAGACAUUAGGCGCUCGUCGGGUGCGGGUUGGGGCCUAGGUCCUAAGGGGCUAGGCGGGCGCCUCGGCGGACUAGGCGGAUUUAAGUAAAUAUAUUAUAUUCAUGUAAAUAAGUAUAUGUUUAUACUUAAAAUAUAUAUAAAUUCAUCAUAAACUACAAAAUAGAAUGACAUAUAUAUUAUGAAGUAUUAGAACAUAAUGAAAACAUAGAGAACAUGCAUAUAAUGUGUGUUCAUUGAAUUAUUCAACAAGUCUCUUACAAUAUAUUGAAAAAAAAAUAAAAUGAAAAAUGAAAAAUAUCUAUUUUCUAUAUAAGCUAGUUGCAACAUAGGCAGGUCUAGACGGACGCCUUAGCAGGUUUAUGCGCUCUUUCUUAAUUUUCAAAUACUUAAGCAUUAAUCGGAACGGUGACUAACCGUCUAUGCGCUAGACGAGAAUUUUUAGAACAGUGUCCACAAAAAAGAUCCGGAGAGGAUCCUUUUUUUUAAGAUUUUAGUACAUGCAACAAUAAAUAAUUCAAAUUGGGUUCCUUUUUUUACUUCAAUUUUGCUGCUACCUCCCAUCCAACCAAUUCUUUAUUUGACAUUUAAAGAUUACUAUUUACAGAAAAAGAAAAUGAUAAAGAAAAAUGACAGAAAGAAAAUAAAUUUCAAAAUAAAAAUUAUUUAUUUUCUAUUUAAGUGAGUUGAAACCUAGGCAUGUCUAAGCAGGUGCUUAGGAGGACGUCUUAGCAGGUUUAGACGUCAUUUCUUAAUUUUUAAAUACUUAAACAUUAAUCGAAAUGGUAAUUAACCGUCUAUGCGCUAGACAAAAUUUUUUAAAAUAGUGUCCACAAAAAAGAUCCUGAGGAUCUCUUCCUAAUAGAGCAACAACUCAAGAAAGCCGUACAUAAAAAGGGACAGCUAUUCGCACACGCUUGUUCAUCCAAAUCUCCACCGCGCCAUAAGUCGGUCGCCUUUUCCAACACCAAGUGAACGUCUAGUAACAAACAAAAAACAACACGUUUGCACAAACAAAUUAAGCAAAAAAUGGUUCAAGAAUAUGUAAAGAGAUUGUAUUGAUAAAUUAGUUAAUUACCUUGGAAUAAGACUUCUUCCAAUUCACCUUUUCACCGUUCGCCUUUUCCAACACCAAUUCACCGUUCGCCCCAACUUUUUCCCCAAAACAAAAUAUCCUGCAAACCCACAAGAAUGCGGGUCUAAAUUUUUUAAACUAAAUGAUGUGGUUGUUGAUGAUCAAAUUAUUACUUAAGUAUUGAUUAAUGUAAUUAUUUUCUAUUAAUGACACAUCAUUUAAUUAAAAUUUUGAUAUCCCUAGCAUUACCCAACCCACAAAUAUCAACACAAAACCCACUUCAGAAUUUCAAUCAAAAUCCAUAAUUUAAACAAAAAUAUGACAGACGCCCAAAACAAGAACAGCACCGGGAGCCGUGAGCAUCAAGCCAUUGGAUUUGGGGACUAGUGCUUCUGUAUGUGAUGUCACUGCACUCCCAUCACGGUGCACGGCAGCCCCAAUCCCACACCCAGAAACGUGUCAUGGAGAGGUGUGGUUGGAUCAACUCGAUGCCGCCAGAUGUGAACACCAGCAGCGUUUUGGAAUUUGAGAUUGUGAUUCUGAAUGAACUAGGUUGCUGGGAUUCGAAUGUGAGUUUGGUUUUGAGUUUUCUGUCGAGAAAUGGUGAGGUGCGUUUUGAUUGGUGAGGACAUAGCUUGGCCUCUCCGAUGAAGGACCAUGUGCUUGCUGGUAUACAAGAUGCAAAUACAACAUCCUAAAAUGGAAGAAAGUGAGAUUACAAAGAGAGGGAAGAUGAAGGUGUACGGGUCAAAUUACAUUUUUAUUCUGUAUUUAAUGAACAUUUAACUGAAAAUCAACUUUGGACUAAAUUUGCUAAAGUUGCAUACCACCACGAAGAAAAAUGAUGUUACAAUCUAAGGGGAGAAUUUGAGCUUAGACGUUUUUUCAUAUUGAAAGAUGAAUUUAAAAAAAACUAAAUGUUUAUCGAAAGAAAAAUUCAAAUUUAGAUGCAUGACGAUGCAACAGAUUAAUUAUAAUAGAGUUAGUCAAUUACGAUACAAAAGUUGGGCACCAUGAGAAAGGGUCUACAAAUUCCCCCAUUUUGCAAAAAGUAUUACGUAAAUAAAAGUAUGGGACAAGCUUGUAAACUUGGUUUACCCAAAAAGGAUAAAAUGCCCCAUCUCUAUAAAUUUUCUGUCUCCAAGAUAUUUUCUUUUAAGUGCAUGUAUUCAUAAAGUCUAGGAUGAUGUGUUAACUUUUCUUAAUUUGUAAGAUUUUAAUUUUUUUGGAAGUUUUGGCAAUUGUUUUGUUAUUUUGGAUCCGUUUCACAUUAUCAUUUGGUUUGAAGUUACUUAUUUUUCACUACAUUGACUCUUGUCAAUUUAAAUUUCAAAGACAACAUUGUUCGAGCAAAAACAAAUGAACAAACAAAUUUUGUUUUUUGCUUGACUAUAAGGAUGACGAUGACAUUUUUUUUCAAAACAUUUAUACAUCAAAUUGAAUAACAUAAUUUUUACAUCUUAAGUUCGAUUUCUGGUACUGGUGAAUCAUGUACUCGAUGAUGGCAGAGGAGGUUGAAAUGCCAUUUCGGCCUGCAAAAUAGUAGAUUGUCGUAGCGAAGUUACCCGCUAAUCCGUUCUUUAAAAUAAUGAAAUAUUUAUAAAACUUUGCUUGCGAAAUAAGUACGAUAGAGAAGUAAAAUAUUAAUGAUUGUGUAUCAACAUGGCCUCGCAACAUAAAUUAGCACUCAACAUCUAUAAAUGCAUUAACUUUCCAAUAAAUAAUAAGAAUUACUCAUAAAUUUGAGUGUAGCCGAAUUAGUUGAGUAGCUGACGACGUAUUCACCUAAAUUCAAGUCUUACCCUUUUCCUCUAUACCCAUGCCCAACGGCGCCGCCAGGAGCGACGUCGACGCCACCCGUCGGCCCGAAUGACACUGGGCCGGACCCGGUCAACGUGGUGUUGGGCCCAGGCCCAGUAGCUAUCCUAGUUGAAAUGGGGCCCGCCAGCUGCGGCUCUUGAUUGGGCUGAUCCAAAAGAUACGCAGACGUAUCAAGGGUCGGCAUGCAGAGGCCGACAACACCGGCCAACCGGCUACCGGGUCUCUGUGGCUCCGGCUUCAGAACCGACGGCAUAGUGACUUGUCCGUUACCGAAUCUUACGCCGGUCACCUGUUGCACCAUCUGUCGGAAGUUGCUCAGGUCCGCCGUGAUGAAAGUCGUCUGGGACCGUUUCGACGCGGGAGACUUGCGUUUCGAAACCUUACCACUACCAUUCGCCACCGGAAUCGCGUUUCUCUGCUGGCGUUUAAGGGGAGCGGCAGCCGAAUCCAAAUCGUCCGAGCCGGAGAGUCCCGAAACGGUGGGGGUGGGGGCCGCUUCGGGUGUUUGAACGAUGGUGUUGAGAAAAGGCAUGAAAAAAUCGGCGGAGGAAGAAUCGAGCGGCUCCGGGUUGUUUCCGGAGAGGGACUUCUGGGGCGCCAUGGUGAGGGUUUUGGUGUCGCGGGAAAUGGCGUCGGAGAUCCAGGAGUCGGCGAAGGUGUUGGGCCUGAAAGCCCACGGCUCCAUCAUGCUCGCCACGUUCUCUGACGACGCCAUUAAGCAGCUCAAUCAACUAAAAAUUCAAAAUUUAAAACUGAAAAUUUGAAUUUGAGCAACUGGGUUUUUGUGAAAUCAAUCGGAUUUCAGAUCAUUCUUUUCCGUACGCACUUACAGGAAAAGUCCUAAACAACCCAGCAGGGGUCUUGAAGGUGAUCUUCCCAGUUGGAGGGUCAUCAACGUAAAUGUCACUGAGCUGCACCCACACCAAGAGCUCCUUGGUCUUCACCCCUGUCAGCUUCUUGAUCUUGCCCUUCUCAACAAUGGCUGUGAUCUCAG